rnacentral:lncRNA from 1 species
AAUUCGAAUUGUGAAGAGGAAUGUCGUAAUCAUAAUCGAAAUUUUAAGAACACACUAUGUACCUUUGACUAAAUUUAUUAACAUUUCUCAACCUAAUCCUUUAGAUUUGAAAUGAAGCAUAAUAUUCUCUCCCUUAAUUAUAGCAAAACAACCUUUCAACUCUUACAACUUUGCAAAGUAUGACUCUUGUUUUCUAUAAUUAAUAUUGCUAACUUGGCAAUACUUUCCUUAAUAAUCAUACAAUCAUAACAUUUAUGCUCCCACUAUCAUGAUGAUUAUUAUAAAACAUAACACUUAUGCUCCCACUAGCUUCGACAUGUAUUCAUAAACAUCUUAACUUUCAGAAAAACAAUGCUUAUUGAAUUUCUUAAGUUCAUGUUUCUAAUACUUAGUGCUUUGAUAAUCUUUUAUCAAGGCUUCUUGAACUUAUACACCUUUGCCUUCGAUAGUUCAUAUGUGUGUCUAAACAAUUAAGACUAAUUGCCAAACCUCACAAUUCAAAUUAUGGAAAGGGAUACCGUAACCAUAAUCGAAUUCGAGAAUGCAAUUUUACAAUCACUAUCUUCUUAAAAUCUUUCUUAGUGAAAGCAUUUCCUCACAAUCAUUUUCAUGAAGGAGGAAAUCUUAUGACACUUAGAUUUAAACGGUGUAUGUGUUCCUAUCCAUGUGAAUUUGUUAAAACCAAAGUUUACGACAAAUUCAAACUCAUAUGGACCGAACUUUCUUAAUCUUGAUUUCUUGCCUUAUGGUAGCACAGCUGCCCACCAUGUCUUCCAAGUAGUUAAGCAGCUCACCCUUUCCUAUCAAUGUACCUUUCAUUGAUUAAGGUGCUUUGCCUUUUAUGCGUUCAAAAUGAGAACUCAUAGAACUCACAUGCAUAAUUAACUCGAUUGGAUUGGCACAGAAUCAAAAUAAUGUCAACACGAUAGGUUGUAAACCUCAACUCGUGUGCUAGUGAUGAUCGAUAAGGUUUAUUUGAUUUGUUCUUGAAACCUUUCAAGACCAUUAAGACUCCCACUGACUCCUUGACAUAUAAGAUUCUCUUGUCAAUAACCAUUUCUUGACAAACAAAUAUUCAAGAGUUAGUGUAGCUUUUAUCAAAACACUUCAUAAAUUGGUCCUAGUUGGUCUUUGUCUUAUCCAAGACAUCACAACUUUCCACAUUUGAUGAAUUUUAUAAAACUUCUUAAUACUUUUUUCACUCAAUGUCACAGUCUAACUCUAAGACUUGUUUUGGAACGAAGUAUGAUUGACUUCUUGAUUUAACCAUUUCUUCAAUUCUCGAUUUCUCUUCUUAGACAUACAAUUGUACUAAGACUCACUUAGAGGAUCAAUUGACAUAUGGUUCUUAAUAAAAUAAUGAGGAUAACGGGAAUGAGUAAUAUGAUGUCACCCUUAUGGAAGUCCUUAGACUAGGUCCCUUGUGUUAGAUGUUUUAGGGACGUAAAGUGAGGAUAACGGGAACGAGUAAUCGGGUUUGUUUGGUUUGAUAAAGCUAAUAAACUUAUUUAUUGUGGAUUGAAAACCCUAUGUACUCACCAGGUUUCCCAACUUGACCCACUCAAUUUAUUUAUAUCACAGGUGUUGAUAGGAAGUCACAUUACACUGAGAGAUUAAGGAGAUAUAAAUCACUAGUGAUAAUGAUUGUAAGUUUUGUUUAUGCUUAUGUUUCUGUAUUGACGAUGACAUCCCAAAUGUUUUAAAAUGAAUAAAAAUACUUUUCUUCGGAAAUGCUUUGAUAACGUAUUUAUCAUGUUUUACUGGGAACAAAUUCCGCAACAUUUUUAUUAAAAAAGGUAUUCUGAUUUUUAUAAAGCAUAAACAAAAUCGGUCUUUUCUGGUCGUGAAAAUGGGGAUAUCAUAGCCUAUGAGGUUUUGUUUAUGCUUUUGGUCUGUAUUGACGAUGACAUCACGAGUUUUGUAAUGUAAUGAAAAUACAUUUCUUUAAGAAUUGCUUUGAUAAUUUUUUUUAUCAUAUUUUGUUUUUAUGAAAAAAUUCCGCAACACUUUUCUUUGAAAGAUUACUCUGAUUUUAUUAUAAAAGCAUAAACGAAAUUGGUCUUUGUUGGCCGUAAAAAUGGGGAUGUCACAGUUGGUAUCAGAGUAUUAGUUUAAGCAAACUAUGAAUUUGUAGGAUUUCUAGACUUAAACUUAGAAUGCUAAACGAUAAUCGUGAGAUGAGUGUGUUCCGUAUUUUAGAUACGAGCAUUAGUUUAUUUUUGGAAAGAUGCCUAAAAAAUUUUAUGUGCUAAAUGCUUUAUGUUUUCCUUGUAUGCUAUUAUUUUUUCGGAUCUAUGGUUUGUUGCCGACCGGAUCUGGAAACCUUAUGUGUUCAGGAUUCUAAGCGUCCAAUUACAAUAUUAGAACUAGCAUGUAACUUUUCGGAGUAAUAAGGAGAAUUUAAACAUCUAUCGUAAAUAAAGAACUAGAUUCACCUAAUUUGGUGUAUAGAUCAAAAUGGUAAGAACUCGAAGUGGAGCUGGAAUCGCGAAUGAGAACAGGAAUCAGCAGCCUCGUCCCAAGGUGAUUGAGCAGGUGCCAAUAGUAAAAGCUGCACCUGAGCCAGUUACAAUGGUUAAAGUUCAAGCUGUGAUUCGGGCUAUGAUGGUUGAACAGAGGGAAGAAAUGAGACAAGUGUUAUUGACUAAUAGGAAUGAAUCUUUGAUGCCUAUUGAACAACCAGAAUUGAAUGACGGACAGUCAGAAGAAAGGAAUUACAGCCGCACUGUCAGUCGGGUGGAACCCCCAUUGGUGAGAAGGAAUGACCCAGAGAGAGAAAUCGACAAAGAUGGACGUAUGUAUAAGAACUUCUUCGGUGCCAAACAACCUCUUUCUAGAAAACCAAAUCCUGUAGAGAUUAUGAAAUGUAUCUCCGAAAUGGAGAUGGUAUUUGAAAGCUACAACAGUAGCGAUAAGUAGAAAACCGUCUUUGCAGUUCGACAACUGAAGACUGGAGUCUUAAGCUAGUGGAAAUUGUUGGCGGAUACGAUGCCAUGAGGAAAAGCUUUAAAGAUGUCUUGGGAAGCGUUCAUGGAGUAGUUGAAGAUGUUGUACUGCUCCGAGAUAGAUCUGAUCGAUCUAAACAAUGAGUUCCAGAACUUGAUGAGCAUUGAUGACUAUGCUACUGCGUUUACUGAGAAGAUUAAGCUAUUUCCUUACUUGGUGCAGGCUGAACUCGCCAAGAUAGAGAAAUUUGCUAACGGAUUGCCAUCAGACUUUGGUGCAACAUUCAAAAUGGAAAGCACGUUGAAGGCAGCCGUUAGAGCAACCAAGAAUGUUGAAACCUUGUUAAAAGAAUGGGGUCUGGAGAGAAAUGAGGUAGGUGAGAAGAGGAAGUUCGUGGAUCUUCAAGAUCCAACAAGAAAAGUAAAUCCUCAAAGUCUGGUUCGAGAGGAGGAGGAGGCAAAGAGAAAUGGUGCGAAAGUGCAAAAAGAAGCACCAUGGGAAAUGUGAUAGGGAGGUCACUUAUUUUAAGUGUGGAAAGCCUGGGCAUUAUGCCAAUGAGUGCACCUUCAACAAGAAAGUUUGUUAUGGGUGUAAUGAGUAAGGGCACAUCUUGAGGGACUUCCCAAAGAAGAAGGAGGCAGCAAGGCCUAAUGUCCCACCGAAACCAAAAGCUAGAGCUUCAGAUGACACUCGAAGCCAAGGAUGCAGUGGAAAUCGCUUCAGGUACCUUUCUUGUAAAUGGAUUGCCAUCCAAUAUAUUGUUUGAUUAUGGAUCAAAUUGCUCCUUUAUAUCACAUAAAUGUGGUGGAAGACUAGCAUUGCCUAUAUAUAGAAAAACUUGAUAAUGCUCUAGUUGUAGAAGUUACCAGUGGCAAUUUCAUACCUGUUAUCGAUUGCAUUAGGAAUAUCGUCAUUGACUUGAACGGAAAUGAAUUCCAUGAGGAGUUGUUACCUAUUGAGCUGAACGGUUUCGACAUCAUACUGGGAAUGGAUUGGCUUGGCGCUAAUGAUGCAGAGAUACUGUGCAAGAAGAAGAUAGUGAGGGUAAACCUGCCCGGAAAAGAGUCGUUUGUGGUGUAUGGGGACAAACGUAGAGUAAAUUCUGGAAUCGUUUCCCCGAUGAAAGCCAGAAAAUGUUUGUCUAAGGGAUGCACAUCAUACUUGGCGUUUGUGAUCGAUUCUAAGAAGGAGAAGAAGGUAAUGCAGAGUAUACCAGUGGUGUGUGCAUGAGGAGUUGUUACCUAUUGAGCUGAACGGUUUCGACAUCGUACUGGGAAUGGAUUGGCUUGGCGCUAAUCAUGCAGAGAUACUGUGCAAGAAGAAGAUAGUGAGGGUAAACCCGCCCGGAAAAGAGUCGUUUGUGGUGUAUGGGGACAAACGUAGAGUAAAUUCUGGAAUCAUUUCCCCGAUGAAAGCCAGAAAAUGUUUGUCUAAGGGAUGCACAUCAUACUUGGCGUUUGUGAUCGAUUCUAAGAAGGAGAAGAAGGAAAUGCAAAGUAUACCAGUGGUGUGUGCAUGAGGAGUUGUUACCUAUUGAGCUGAACGGUUUCGACAUCGUACUGGGAAUGGAUUGGCUUGGCGCUAAUCAUGCAGAGAUACUGUGCAAGAAGAAGAUAGUGAUGGUAAACCCGCCCGGAAAAGAGUCGUUUGUGGUGUAUGGGGACAAACGCAUAGUAAAUUCUGGAAUCGUUUCCCCGAUGAAAGCCAAAAAAUGUUUGUCUAAGGGAUGCACAUCAUACUUGGCGUUUGUGAUCGAUUCUAAGAAGGAGAAGAAGGAAAUGAAAAGUAUACCAGUGGUGUGUGACUAUCCGUAAGUCUUUCCCGAAGAUCUUCCUAGAUUGCCCCCUGAUAGACAAGUAGAGUUUCGAAUAGACUUGGUACCAGGAACGACGCCAAUAUCAAAAGCACCAUAUCAAUUAGCACCGAUGGAGAUGAAGGAGCUUAUAACACAACUUCAGGAGUUGUUAGACAAUGGUUUCAUUAGACCAAGUUCAUCGCCCUGGGGAGCUCCUGUGUUAUUCGUAAAGAAGAAAUAUGGAAGCAUGAGGAUGUGCAUAGACUAUAGGGAGUUGAACAAGGCAAAAAUGAAGAAAAAGUACCCAUUGCCAAGGAUUGAUGACCAGUUCGAUCAGCUGCAAGGUUCGAGCUAUUUCUCCAAGAUCGAUCUUAGGUCAGGAUAUCGUCAGCUGAAGGUGAGAGAGCAUGAUAUUGAGAAAACUACAUUUAGAACGAGGUAGGGACACUAUGAGCUCUAGGUUAUGUCAUUUGGACUCACCAAUUCUCCAGUCAAAUUCAUGGAUUUGACGAGCAGGGUUUGUAAACCAUUCCUCGAUAAAUCCGUAAUAGUGUUCAUAGACGACAUUCUAGUUUACUCAAAGAGCCAGCAGGAGCAUGGCAAGCACCUGCGAGAAGUGUUAAAAUUUCUGAAGAACGAAAAUUUAUACGCAAAGUUCUCCAAAUGCAAUUUUUGGAUUCGAGAAGUCCGAUUCUUGGGUCAUGUGGUUAACCAAGAAGGGAUCAUGGUUGAUAUAACAAAGAUUGAAGCUGUGAUGAAGUGGGAGCGACCAAAGAGUCCUACGAAGAUCCGAAGCUUUAUGGUAUUAGCCAGAUAUUACCGAAGGUUUAUCCAAGCUUUUUCUUCGAUAGCUGCUUCAUUGAAAACCUUGACCCAUAAAGGAGCUACUUAUACUUGGAAUGAGAAGCACGAGGAAGCAUUCGAGAAGCUAAAUAAGAAGUUGUGUGAAGCACCAAUUCUUUCUCUGCCCGAUGGAGUUGAAGACUUUGCAGUUUAUAGCGAUGCGUCUGGGGUUGGGUUAGGUUGUGUUCUGACCCAAAGGGAUAUUUUGAUAGCAUAUGCAUCGAGACAAAUGAAAGAGCAUGAAAAGAGCUACCCCACUCAUGAUUUGGAGUUGGCAGUGGUAGUAUUUGCACUAAAGAUAUGGAUGUAAUAUCUUUACGACACAAAGUGCAAAAUUUUUACUGAUCAUAAGAGUCUUCAGUAACUCUUUAAUAAGAAGGAAUUGAAUAUGAGGCAACGAUUUUGGCUAGAGUUUCUUAAGGAUUACGACUAUGAGAUACUUUACCACCCUGGUAAAGCGAAUGUCGUAGCUGAUGCUUUGACCCAAAAAGCGAGCCUUGAAAGGAAAAGGCCAAGAGCAUUAAGGAUUGAAGUUGUCUCAACGAUUGUGGAAAGCAUCAAGAAAUCUCAGGAAGAAGAUUUAGAGAAAAAUGACCUAAGGGAAGAGCGUUUGGUCAAAACGCUGAUGUUUGGUACGAAUAAUCAAGAAUUAAAGGUAUUCCAAGAUAGGAUUUGGGUACAUAAGAUGGGAUGAAUAAGAGAUCUUUUGAUGGAAGAAGCUCACAAGACCAUGUACUCGAUUUAUCCAGGAAGCACAAAAAUGUAGAGGGACCUGAAACCCUACUACUGGUGGCCAACGAUGAAGCUCGAUGUUGCGAAGUAUGUGGCCGAGUGUGUGACAUGUGUGAGAGUUAAGACACAACAUCAGAAAUCGUAUGGGAGUUUAGAACCCUUACAUGUACCCAUGGGUAAAUGAGAAGACAUCACCAUGGAUUUUGUCACUAAACUGCCCAAAACAAAGUACAGUCACGACAUGAUUUAGGUGGUCGUUGAUCGGUUCACUAUAAGUGCACACUUCAUAGCAGCAAAAUGAAAUAUGGUAUAUGGAUAAGAUUGCAAAUGCUUACGUGAAGGAAGUAGUAAGACUUCACGGUGUUCCUUUAAUGAUUGUAUCAGACCGUGAUAGUCGUUUCACUUCAAGGUUUUGGAGGAGACUACAAGAGGAAUUGGGUAAGAAGUUGUGUUUAAGUACAGCCAACCAUCUGUAGAUCGAUGGUCAGAGAGAAAGAACGAUUCACACACUUGAAGAUUUGCUGAGAGCGUGUACCCUGGAGUUUCAAAGUAACUGGGAUGAACAUUUGCCUCUGGUAGAAUUUUCCUACAACAAUAGUUAUCAUUUGAGCAUCAAGAUGCCACUUUAUCAAGAUUUGUAUGGACAAAAGUGUCGUACGCCAUAUUGUUGGCUUGAAGUUGGAGAAAAGCAGUUAAUGGGCCCUGAAAUAGUCCAUCAGAUUGCAAAAAAGCUGAAAGUAUUUAGGGAAAGGAUGUUAGCAGCUCAAGAUCGUCAAAAGAGUUAUGUUGAAAAGAAGAGACGAAAGGUGACAUUCGAAGUUGGAGAUUCGGUUUUGCUUAAAGUCUCACCAUGGAAGGGACUUAUAAGAUUCGGGAAAAGAGGAAAGUUGAGUCCAAGGUUCAUUAGACCGUUCAAAGUUCUUCAGAGGAUUGGGAACCAAGCCUACAAGUUGUAAUUGCCUGAAGAACUAGAUGAUAUUCAUAACAGUAUCCAUGUGUGUUAUUUGAGGAAAUUCACGGGAGAAGCUCCCUACAUAAUUCCAGUUUCUGAGUUAAGGAUGAAUGAAAAGAAGAGGCUAAUUGAAGAACUGGAAGCGAUUGUUGACCAUAAGACAAAGAAGUUGCGACGCAAGAUGGUCGACUUAGUGCUUGUGCGAUGGAAACAUUCGAAUGGGCCAAAUCUCACCUGGGAAACAGAGAGUGACAUGAUGAGUUGCUAUCCGCAUUUGUUUUUUGAUGCAUGAUUUCGGGACGGAAUCAUCCUAAGGGGAAAGACCUAUAACGCCCGUGUUUCGAGGCUAAGCAUUGAUGCGAUGAUGUAAUAGUCUAGGUAAACCGUUGUAACCUAUUUUAAAGUAAUAAAAUGAAUUACUUGAAUAUUAUGUGAAUUAUGUGCUUUUAUGUGAUUAUAUACUUGUUUGUAAAGAUAUAAUAAAAAUAAGUGUCAAAAAUAAAAUAUUAGAUAAGCCCGAUGUCUAUGAAGGAAUUUGUAGUGGUCGUGAAAAGGAUUUCGGAUAUAUGAAGAACGCCAAAAUCCGAGUUAUAACGAAGAAGUUAUAACAUGUCGAACUUUCGCGACAAAACCGGCACGACACUAUUAAACGUAAAUAGUGAAUUCGCGAUAUAGGAAUUUUUAGCCUUAGCGAUCUAAACGAAAGUCGUAGUGUUCAUCAAACCAAGAACGUGCAUAAAAAGAACACCCAAAUCUGACUUCGUAUGAGAAAGUUAUGAUUUUUCUAAGUUUCAGCUUAGCAAUAUGCAGCCCGGAGUUCGAAUAUUAGAUCGAACAAUUUCUGGCCAACACAACCUAAACGAGAAUCGAAGGUCUCGUUAAUAGUAGUUCAACGGUAAAAAGACAGACGAAAACGAACAUCGUAUGAAGGAGUUAUGAAUUUUUAACGGACUUUUCAUGUCCCGGGCUAUUAAAAAAUAUAACUUUAAAAAUAGAUUCAAAAUUAGCCGACAGAGUCUAAACAAAAGUUGUAGAGUAUGGUACCGCCUAUGCGUGGAUAUAAAGAACGUCGAAAAUGGAGCUCGUAUGCGAAAGUUGUGAAUUUUAGAAGUCGGGAUGACAAUUUACGAGACAAUCUGAGGGGGGUGCGCCCAGCGUAUCCUCGAACGCCAAGCGAUCCAGAGUACGCCCUGCGUACGAAAAGCGAACACCCCACGGUUUGACUUUGUCUAUGGUUUCGAAGAAGCCAUGAAGCUCCAUCUGAAUUAUAACGCGUGUCUCUACGCCUCGCGUAAACCAAGGAUAUGCCCUGCGUACCUGCAAGGCCUCGCGCCUAUAUAAGGGUGCAAGGUGCAGCCCCACUUUUUACACUUUUUCAACUCUCUUUCACUCUGUACUCUCUCUCUCUCUCUCUCUCUCUCUCUCUCUCUCUCUCUCUAGCCUUCCAAAAUACCCCCGAUGCCUAGAAAACCUCCCUAGCAUUAGAAGAAAGCCCCGGAGCGCCCGAAGGCUCUGAGAAAGAAUUUUUCGGUUUGAAACUCUGCCCGCGCAGAGCCUGGUUUUCAAGCAAACCUCCUAGUUUCAUGAAAGAUGAUUAUUUUAAAAAGCAAAGCGUUGUCCGAAUCACCUCCUUAUCAUGUCAGUGUAUAUUCACUUUAAUCUUACACAUAGAUAUGAAGUAUUUUAUAUAAAUUACAUGCUAUGUGUGUAUAUAUAUUACCUAUGUACUUGAGAUCUAUGUUGGAUAAAAAAUUUGAACCUCUUUGUUAUCAGAUAUGAACUUUUUCCUUAAGAUCUAAACUUUUUCUUUCAAAUCCAAACUUUUCUUCCAGAUCUAAACCUUUUCCUUCAGAUCUAGACUUUCUCACUUCAGAUCUAAACUUUUCUGAUCUAAACCUUAUACAUGAAUAAUUUAUACUUGAGAUCUAUGUUGUAUGAAAGAUUUAAACUUCGUUUUCAUAUCUGAGUGGUAUAUGUGUUUUAUAUCUACAAAUAUGUUGGUUAAAACAAGGGUAGAUGAAAUAGUUGGUGUGUGAUGAAAUAAAAUGAUGAGAGGCCUCUGUGUAAACGAUGAUCCAGUCAUCUAGCGGAGUAUGGAUGACGACCACAGGCUUUUCUAGGAAAUCCUGUGGAGCGCUAGCAGACUCGCAACCUGUAGGUGUUUGUGAACGAUGUGUUCACCGGUGUAUUCCAUCCCCCCAUGGUUGCCUUAUGGACCCUUAUGGCUGAGGAAUCGCCUUAGCAGUAGUGUCCAUCCUGAUGAAAUUCCUUAGGAUAGGUCCCUUAUAAUAUAUGCUUUAGGGAGGUAAAGUGACGAUAACGAGAAUGGGUAAUCUGGUUGAAUAAUUUUUUAAAAUAAUAAAAUUAUUUAGUGUAGAUUGAAAACCCUAUAUGCUCACCAGGCUCCCCAGCCUGACCCACUUAGUUUCUUGUAUUACAGGUAGUGGCAAAAGCAUAGUUGGAUGAUUUGACAAGAGAUUAUGGAUUUAUAGGCCAUUAGAAAAUAAAUAUAAUAUUGUAAGGCCUAUAUUGUUUUGAGGCCAAUUCUGUUUUGGUGGCCUAUGAUGUUUUGUUUAUGCUUUUGGUCUGUAUUGAUGAUGACAUCCUGAGUUUUGUAAUGUAAUGAAAAUACAUUUCUUUAAGAAAUGCUUUGUUAAUUUUUUUUUAUCAUAUUUUGUUUUUGGGAACAAAUUCCGCAACACUUUUCUUUGAAAGAUUACUCUGAUUUUAUUAUAAAAGCAUAAACGAAAUCGGUCUUUGUUGGCUGUAAAAUGGGGAUGUCACAGUUUAACUAUUUAAGGUGCAUUCAUGCACUAGAUUUUGUAAUCGUGAUAUCGUCUUGUAAACCCUACACGCCUUUAUAGUAGCAGUUUUUAACCGAGCUAUUCUAAAGCUGUGAUAUUAAAUCAUUCGACAUAUUUGAUAUUCAAAAAAAAUGUAGCCGCCAAACAUUGUGAGAUUACGUAAGUAGAGUUAGAUUCUUUAGUCUAUUCUGAAAGUGUAAUUUAUUCCACAUGUUUUGAAUAAAUCGAGUGUUCAUUCGACAUAUCUUCUUACUUGUGGUUGUUCUUAUUAUCCGCAUCUUCUUCAUCAAAUCACAAUUAGGGUUUUAAUCCUAACAAGUAGUAUCAGAGCGGGACAUUGAAGAUCUUUUUAUUUUUGAAGUAUCGCUUCUAGAUUUGAAGAUUUUCUACACAAGUUAUUGAAGAUUAUUGGUGUUUUAAUGGUUUGGAAUCAAUGUUUUUUUAUCUACUGUUCAUGAUGAUUUAUGGUGUUCUUUUACUAUUCAUCGGGUAUUUUUUUAAUCUGAUUCGUUUUUCUGUUCAUAUUGGAUCUGUUCGUUAGCAUAAUCUAAAAAUCAAUUGGUUUUAUUCCUUUGUUUUGACCCAAUUGGAUCUGUUCGUAUCUUAUUUUUGAUUUGGCCCAAACUCUUGGUCGUUCACCGUUCAUGGUAUGUAUGUUUAUUGUCGAUCUAGUUUUUCUUUGGCCCUAAUAUUAUAUCUGAGUUUCCGAUUGCGUCUUGUUCUGUGCUCAAUUCGAUCAUUCUUGUUAGUCAAUUUCAACAUUUGUGACUAUCGACUAAGGAUAUUGGGUAUUAAUGUUUCAUUAUCAAGACUCAUGAAUCGAUUCCUUUUAGCUUUCAUCAAAGUUUUUUUUUCUAAUCAGUUCUACCAUUCAGAUUCUUAAAGUCGAUUUGAUUAACUCGUGUUGAUCUUGAAAAUUUCCGACGAUUGUGUUAUGAUUUAUUUGUGAAUGAAUUUGAUUUAUGGAAGUAGCGAUUGGGUGUUUAAUUGAAUGCAAAUCUCGAAGUCUAAUGAUGAACGGAUGAACAGUGUUGUAUCUCAAUUUGGAUGGUCGAAAUUGAAAAGUCAAAAUUCAAAACCAUCUGAAAUCGGGAUGAUGUAAUCGUUGUGGAAGUAUUUGGUGAUCUGUUCACAAUCACUUGUUAGUUCACCAAUCGCAAAUGGAAAAUACAUUCAGAAUUGUCUUGAUGACAUGUUCAUAAUUGCCAAGACAAACCUGAAAGUCAAAAUUGGUUUGAAAGACCUUACCUGAGAACGAAUGAAACCGGAACGAAACUCAAUUGGGAUGAAUAAUGAUCAAAAUUGAAAAGUUAAAAUGGACUGUGAUUGAUUGGUUUGGAGCGAACGGUCUAGGAAUCGGAAAUUGGAAUCUGGGCCCGCACUUAUUUUCACCCACGAACGUUCGAAGUUUGAUACCUUGGAUUCAUAGUUGACUGUAUUUCGCAUCGGGAUUGAAGUCGCUUGACUCGGAACGAACCGGGACUGGUAGUUCUAGUCGGCUCGCAUCAAAAAUCAGACAGUACUCGGAUGCACAACUAUAUGCUCAGAACGAACUAUCUCAGAAUCGGGGUUGUGGUCACUGUGUUCGUCUGUCAAAGUUUAAAUCGGGAAGAUAACUCAAAGUUUCACUUUUUGGUCACUGUUACUUUUGCAUCUUGACAGUUUUGAUCCAUUUCAAGAAAUUGUUACAAAUAAAGAGGAGUAUGAUGCAAAAUUAUUAAUUAGUCCCCUGUCUUUUUACAAAGUGACAAUUUCAACCGUUAUUUCAAAAAGUUUGCAAUUUUAAGGGUUGGUGAACAGUUUUGGAUUUUUUUAAUGCACAUAUUUUUUUUCGUGAACAGAAAAUUAUGGAUUCUAACAAGUCUUGGCUGUUCAGAAAUUCGUUUUUCGCAAUAACGUCAAAUUUUUUCGACUCUUUCGGAUUUUAAACUUCAAUGUUUAUUUCAUUUUGUCGCGCGGGAGCAUAGUAUUUAUUUAUCCAUUCAAGAUCAUUCUCAUGACUAUUUGAAGGUUUUAUAAUCAUGUUUUUUAUUAUAAAUCGGGGGAGAAUUUGGUAUGGACAUUCGAAAUUGGAUUUGUGAUUUUUCAAAUUUGAAGAUUUUUGAUGAAGCUUGUGGUAGAAUUAUGAAGCUAGCUUUUACAAUAGCAGUUCUUAAUUGAGCGCUUCUAAAGCUUUUACAGAGAAGUAGCCUUUACAGUAGCAGUUCUUCAUCGAGCUCUUCUAAGGCCUUGAUAUAUCUCUGACUUCUAGUAUUUUCUCGAUCAAGUGGUGUUACGAAUCUUAAAAUUUGAAGAUCGUUGUGACUUGAAGGGGGAGUUCUUCAAAGACAAGAGGUGAUUUUGUUUCUUAAUUCUGAAAUGGGGUUUUAUGGCGGGUUUGGCUUUAUUGAAGAUCUUUGAGAUUAUAAUAGAAAAUGAAGUUUGAAGAAAUUACUUCAAUGCUUGGUUUAUAUAUAUAUAUAUAUAUAUAUACACACGGAGGUAGGUUCAUAUGUGGAUGAAUAAAUAUUGUGUGGACGUAUGGACCAAUAAGAAUUUAAGAAAAAAAAUCAUUAUUUAAAUACAUAAGGGUAGGUUGGUAAUAUUAGAUAUACAAUAAAUAAUAUCCAAAAUUAAGUUCUUAUCAUAUCCCUUUAUUUAAGCAAAUUUGGNUAUAAAUAGUCAUGUAUUAUUCAUAAUUAGGGUUAAGAGUGAGGCAAAAUGUAGCCACCAAACAUUAUGAGGUUUGUUAUGUAGAGUUAGAUUCUUUAGUCAAUUCUGAAAGUGUAAUUUAUUCCUCAUGUUUUGAAUAAAUCGAGUGAUCAUUCGACAUGUCUUCUUAAUUGUGUUUGUUCUUAUUUUCCGCAUCUUGUUCAUCAAAUCACAAUUAGGGUUUUAAUCCCAACACAUUUACCACUACAAUUUAUCACUUUUAACUAUUCACAAAAUAUUCUUAGGUUUUUUAAGUGGAACUGAAAUUUAUAUUAAAGUUGACCCUAUAAUGUUAUAUUUAAAUUAACAAUUUAAGUAUUUUGUCCAAACUGUUCAAAAGUUGUAUCUUUAAACUGAUAAUGAUUUACAUACAACAACAUAUUAAAUCUAAUAAAUUAAGUAUAACAUAUUAAAAGUUAAAGACAUAACUUUAUAAGUGGAAGUAAAAAUAUUAUUUUAAUAUUGAAAUUUAGUUUAUUUAUGAUUACUCUUAGGUUUGAUACUUAUUUAACCUUAUUAACCAACUUAUAAUCAUUAUUAGAAAGACACUACAAUUUAUCACGUUUAACUAUUUACAAUAUUGUUUGGGUUGUUUAAGUUGAACUAAAAUUUAUAUUUAAGUUGAUCAUGUAAGGUUAUAUUUUAAUUAACAAUUUAAGUAUUUUAUACAAAUUGUUCAAAAGUUCUAGCUUUAAAAUGAUAAUGGUUUACAUACAACAGCAUAUUAGACCUAAUAAAUUAAGUAUAAUAUGUUAAAAGUUAAAAACAUAACUUUAUAUGUAAAAGAAAAUAUAUUCUUUUAAUAACAAAAUUUAGUUUAUAUAUGUUUACACUUUAGGUUUUAUAUUUAUUUAACCUUAGUAACCAACUUAUAAUCAUUAUUAGAAAGAAAUUGAAAAGUCAUGGGAGUUUCAAAUGAAUGUGGUGAUAGAAAAAAUGCUUUCUUUAUAAGUAUACUAGGUGAACACUCGUGCGUUGCGUAGAAAAACCUAUAUAGUUAAAGUCUUUACAAAUAUAUAUUUUGUUUAAAUAUAGCAAUAAUGUUGUUGUUAAAUUUGAUAUAAUAAUUCAUAUACUAAAUUGAUAUAAUAUAUUGAUUGUUUUAAAUUAUAUGAUAAUAUAUACAUCUAUUAUAACUGCAUAAUCUCAAUCAUUUGAAUGACUUCUAUCUACAAGUUACACAUGAAUAAAAUUAAAUAUAAUAUAUAUGGUUUAGUGUUAUUUAUAGUUGUUGUUAUUGUUAAUUAAUGUUUUAAAAUUUAUUUACUUAAUUUUGUAAUUUCUAUCAUUAUUAUUAUUUAAAACAUCAAACAUUGUUUUUAUAUUUUAAAGUUAACAAUAUAAUCAUUUAUAUAGAAUUAUUUUUAACUAUGGUUAUUUUAAGUUAUUUUAAGCUACUUAUUUGAAAACUUUUAACGAUUAUAAAAAUAUCUUUACGAAAUAUUUUAGUUAAAUUGAGAUUACAAUUUAGUUUUCUCAUUUAUCACUACAAUUUAUCGUUUUUAACCAUUUACAAAAUAUUCUUUAGUUUUUUAAGUGGAAUUGAAAUUUAUAUUUAACUUGACAUUGUAGCAUUAUAUUUAAAUUAACAAUUUAAAUAUUUUGUCCAAAAUAUUCAAAAGUUGUAGCUUUAAACUGAUAAUUAUUUACAUUCAACAACAUAUUAAAUAUAAUAAAUUAAGUAUAAUAUGUUAAAAGUUAAAGAUAUAACUUUAUAAGUAGAAGUAAAUAUAUUAUUUUAAAAUUAAAAAAUUUCGUAUAUUUAUGAUUACACUUUAGGUUUGAUAUUUAUUUAACCUUAUUAACCAACUUAUAAUCAUUAUUUGAAAGAAACUACAAUUAAUCACUUUUAACUAUUUACAAAAUAUUUUUUGGGUUGUUUAAGUUAAACUAAAAUUUAUAGUUAAGUUGACCCUGUAAUGUUAUAUUCAAAUUAAUAAUUUAAAUAUUUUAUACAAAUUGUUCCAAAAUUGUAUCUUUCAAAUGACAAUGGUUUACAUCCAAAAAUAUAUUAAAACUAAUAAAUUAAAUAUAAUAUGUUAGAAGUUAAAAAACACAACUUUAUAAGUAGAAGUAAAUAUAUUAUUUUAAUAUUGAAAUUUAGUUUAUAUAUGAUUACACUUUAGAUUUGAUAUUUAUUUAACCUUAUUAACCAACUUAUACUUAUUAUUAGAAAGAAAUUGAAAAGUCAUGGGAGUUUCAAAUGAAUGUGGUGAAAGAAAAAAUGCAUGGGAGCUUCAAAUGAAUAUGGUGAAAGGAAAAAAUGUUUCCUUUAUAAUAUAGUAUGAUAUGAUAUGAUAUGAUGAUAAUGAUAAUGACAAUGAUAAUGAUAUAGAUAUGAAUAUAGAUAUAGAUAUACAUGUGUGUCAAGUUGGUUGAUUUAUCUUUCUUUUAUCAUAGAAAUGACAUAUAAGAGACCUAGAGUUAAUUGGAAGUUGCAGUGUGUAGAAAAACAUUUUUGGAGGCACUUAUACACGAACUAACAACUAAUGGGCGGGAGGGUGGUGACUUACAAGAAAGCUUGUGGACUACAGUAGCAGAGAAACUGAAAAAUGCACGUAAUUUUGAUGUUGACAAAAGACAAAUGAAAACUGAUAUGACUAUUUAAAAGCAAAGAAUGUUGUUUGGUUGAAAUUGAAAAGAAAACCCAGAAAUAUUUUUAAUCCUAUAACGAACACUUUUAACAUGAGUGAUGAAGAAUGGGAAGCAGAGGGGAUGGUAUAUUUUUAUAUAUACGUUUUCUUAAUUUGGUUAUUUUGUUUUACUAGUUUAAUAAUAUUUGUUAAAUUUUCAAAUAAUUAUACAAGUAUGAAGACAAAAUAAGAAAUGCACCUCUCUCUUUCCCUGAUCUUUGUAACCAAUUGUUUGAUGAGGAGACCUUGACCAACAUUUAUAGUUGGGGGCCAUCUUCAACACUCCCUCAUCCCACCAAAUUGUUUACUACCCAUGAUUUUGAGAAUAUUGAGAUGGAAGACCAAACACCUCAUAUGGAUAUCACAACCUCAGCCUUAACAGUACCCCCUCCUACAAGUGCUUCACCUCAUGCAAGUGAAGAAUCCUCUGGCUGGACAAAAAAUAAGGCAUGAAAACGAAAUGCUCCCAAGGAUACCACACUAGAUGAUGGAUUAAGAGAAGUUGGCAAGGAUAUUUUCAUGGUUAGACAAGCAUUCGUGCAAGCAAAUAAUCUUGACAAACAAAUGGAUGAAUGCAUGGUGAAGUUGGAAGGCUUGGAUUGGGAAGAAUUGGAUCCAAAAUACACCCUCGAUCUUAUGCUAUUUGCUUGAAGUGCUGGUAAUAGGAAAAAUUGGUUGCGCCUCAAGUCGUCGACUUGUGAGUCAUGGGUGACAAGUACGGGAAAGAAGUUUGGAUUAGCUAUUUUACUUUAGUAUGGCUUUAGGAUCUUUUUGGUUUUAAUAUGUUAUGGAUUUAUGUUAUGGUUCAUGUAGUGAAUUUUUACGUUUAGAAUUUUUAUGCGUGAUGGAUUUAUAUGUUAUGGAUUAUUAUGUUAUUUAUUUUUAUGUUAUAGAUUUUCUUUAUGGUUGAUUAUAUAAAAUUUAAUGUAAUUUAUAUUUAAGAUUUAACAAAUCUCAUAUGGAUAAAGAAGGUGAAUUUUUAGCUUUCCUUAUAUUCUCAUGAUAUUGGUUGAUGUUGGCCCGACAAAGGAAAAUAAAAAUUGAAAGAAUAAUCGCUAGCAAACAGGUAGUAAGUGGGCAUAUGUAUACACAAUAUUUGAUAGACGGAUGUCCUACACAAUAUUAUGAAAUGUUGCGUCUUUCACAAAAUGCAUAUAUACUCUUAUGAAAUUAUUUUAUAAAAAUUAGGAAACUAGUUGCAACUUAGCAUGACAAUAAGUAUUGAAGAGAAGAUGACUAUAUUUUAAUAGGUUAUAAGACUAAUGAACAUUUUCGAGCGGUUAAAGGAAUAUUUCAACAUUCCAUACAAAUGAUCCAUCCAUGUUUUCAUGAGGUCUUAAGUGCAAUGAUGUGUUUUGCAAGAGAAAUUAUAAUACCAAUGUAACACCGUAAUUUUUAAACACCAUUUUAUGAUGAUAAAUAUAUGCUUCUACAAAACCUUUUCAUCAAUCAUCGGAGUUACAAAUUUUCAGUGUUACAAAAUAUAUCAACAUUUAUUGUCAAAGAAAAAAAAGGAUUUAACAACCUUCUCCUUUCCUUCUACCAUCAUCUUUGGUUAUGCUCUCUUUCCUCAUUUCUAUAUAUAAGUACAUAUCAUAUUUAAACAAAAUAUAGCACACAAAAGUCUGGUGAGCUACAUGGGUUUUGACUCAUUAAAAUAUUUAACAAACAUCCUUAAUACUUCUAUAUGUUUUAUUUACAGUAAUAUAGACAUACAAAAUCCUCAAUAUAAAAAUCUUAGCACAUAUAGGAUACCUUAAUCCCUAGCCAACAUUCAACUAGCCGCAUUAUUUGGGAUACUUCAAUCCUUAGCUAAUGAUUCAUUGGCAACUUCAAUAAUGGAUACUUCACUCCCUAGCCAAUUAUUUUGUUGGCCGCUUUCACCUCAUGGGAUCCCCAUCCAAUCUUUAGUUGGAAACUUUAACAUAGGAUACUUCAAUCCCUAGCCAAAUCAUUUUUUUGGCAUCAUUAAAAGCGAUACUUCUCUCCUUUAACAAUCAUUUGCUGGCAACAUCAAUAUAAAAUACAAGCCUAUCACUGGCUACAAGUAAUAAUUAUUAUCACAUCCUGGUACUCAUUCAUAGAGUGUAUUAUAUCCUUAAUCAUAUAGAAGGCAUCUGCCACCUUAUUCACAUUUAGCCCUUGAUAGGCCUUCAAUGUAUAUUUACAGAUUGGCUCCACAUCUCAUACAACUCUUUAUGGAAUUCACAACAAUAUUCAUACACAGGAUUUUCCAUGCCCAUCAAUGAAUAGCUUUAUGGGCUGUCGAGCUAUCUAUAACUCUCAUCGCCCAUAUAUAUAUAACAUAUGGUUGAAUAAUCAUUUUCAUAUAAUCUUUUUGAAUGAACAUAUAGAGUCAUACAUGGUGACCAAUUACACACUAACACAUCAUCAGAUUAGUCACUUACAGUGACAUAUUUAUCUUUUAUGUAAAAUAAUUACUUGUUAUGUACCCAUAAAAAUUCACAUGUACUCACCUGGCAAGUCUGUAAAGACUAACUUCUAGCUUGACCUUCCAUCUUACAUCUUUUUCGAUUCCACUGUGUGUAUGACCUCAUAUAUGUAUCGACGCUCGUUAGCAUGCACUUUUGUAUCUCCCAUCACGCUUCUCGGUCGACUGAGACCUCCAUCGAGCAUACACACAAAAAUGAACAGGAUAUCCGUAUAUAUAGGGUUGUUUGGUUAGUGCAACGUCGUGGCAUUCCCUUCGCCACGUCAUGGAAAAUGUCAUGCGUUCAUCUAACGUAAACAUGUGUCUAUCCCCGUCAUCAUAUUGCCACAUCGUUGCUAUACCUUUACCAUGUCUUGGUGAAUGUAGACACCACGUGUCACUGUGGUGUUGACCCGUCUCUAAAAUAGCAGUGUACUUUUAAAAUUGUCGUAACUUUCUCAUACAAACUCUGUUUUCGACGAUCUUUAUAUCCAUGUGACUGUCUCAGACAAUAAUACAACUUCCUAUCACUAGUUUCAUGUUAAUGUCUCUCCAUUUUAAAUUUGAUUUCUUGCCAAAGAGGUAUCAGUUUUUUGGUCGUUACAACCUGAUGGAAUUUUAUGCAUAAGAACAAUCAUAUGUGCUCAUACAAACCCUAAUGCUUGGAUCUAGGUUUCUCUAUUGUACAUGCUUUGAAUCCAAGACUUGCAACCCUAGAUCUAUCAUAUAUACUUCGAAAUCAACAUCAUAAGAACAGAUCUAAGUGUUUACCUCUUUCAAAUUGCUUGAAAUCCUUGUAGUCUUCUUGAUCUUGAGCUUAGAGUCACAAUUGUAACUCCUCUAAUGGUUCACAAACCCCACAAGCAAGAAGGCAAUAUGAGAGAGGGUAAGAGAUGCUAAAAUCGUCCCUAGGGUUCUCUUGGAAUCAAGUGUAGCCGAUUUUCAUAGCCUAGGGUUCAUAUUUAUACUGUAGGCUGCUAGGGUUUCAGUCUAAACCCUAAUGGACAACCUAGCCACCAAGCAGCCCAAGGAACCUUCUAGAAUAAGGCCUUGGACGAAAAUAUGAUGGAUCCCCAUCAUAAUUUCGUUCCCCCUUAAUUCCAUUAGGUUUCCCAGCCCAAAACUCAACUAUCAUACAUUUGACAGUUUAUGCCCCUUUAUUUAAUUAAUCUCUUUUAGUCACCAAAUUAAUUCCUAAUUAAUUUAUGACCAAUACUAAUUAAAUAAAUAUGAUUUCUCCUUUAAUAUAUUAUUCUUAUAAUAUAUUAAUAAACCAUAAUAUUCUCUCUCUCUCUCUCCUUAAAUUACCUUGUCAAAUUGCUUUGGUGAAGGCAACCCAAAAGGACCAUGCACAACCGGGUCAAGUACAUACCAAAUAUAGUUACGGGCUUAGACACUAAUGCAACAGUCUCCCACUUGGAUAAGUCUAGUAACUAUAUCUCACAUAUGACUUCAGGAUCCGAUUAGCAAUCGUAGCUCUUAUACGUCGUUGUCAACUCUGAUCAACAACUUGUCCUUCAGAUAAGGGAUCAUAUAAUCCUCUUUUUUAGAUAUCAUGCUGACAAUGCUUAUCGUCCAGCAUUUGUUCCUCGAUUUCUGACUUGUUUGACAUAGAAUUUAGUUGAACACAUCAACUUCAUUCUGACCGGUCCCGGCACAUAAGUCAAACCAAAUCAUCGAGUGACCAAGAUAUCACCUUUAUUCUCAUAGAAUAAAAGGAGCAGAUUAACUUUGACUCAUGUGCAUCUAUUAUUUACCAAUUAAACCAUGCACACCAAUGUGUUUUAUAACAUCAAAUUACUAAUGCGUUUACACAUCAUCAAUGCACAACCAACCAACAAACAAUAACCAUAUCUCUAAGUUUUAAGACUAUAUGAGAUUAUCGCUUUGCGAUCACUUAAGGUAAAACACCACGAAGUGAUACAGGCAAACACGUGUUUAUUCCAAUGCUCAAAUCAUAUUCAUAAGUACUCAUGAACUUUGUAGUAAACCUUUGCUAUGCUCAAAACCUUUUAGACAAUCUACAAUCAAUUCAUGACAUUUUUCAUUCAUAUCUACUUCCACAAUAUGAAUGAUUGUGGACUGUUCUAAUAAUCCUAUCAUUUAGGAAGUCAAAACAUACAAAAUUGAAACAAUAGACAAAUAACCAACACAAGAUAGUAGCUUUACUCAUAAAUAACAUAGCUUUAUUUAUUCAUCAAAUGUCAAGUACAAAUUAUCUAUUAAACGUUUCCUAUCUAAUCCAAACUUAUAUCAUCCUUCAGCCCAUUGCUCCUAGCGUGCUGCAAGUGUUUGACCCUACUCAGUCCCUUCGUAAGGGGAUUUGCUAGGUUUUCUUCUGAUGAUACCCUCUUCACAACGAGGAGUCCCUCUUCUACCCGCUGUCUGAUAAAAUGGUAUUUUCUGUCGAUAUGUCGAGAUCUACCAUGAUCUCUUGGUUCCUUGGUUAAGGCAACCGCUCCUUCAUUAUCACAGAAAAUUUUCAUUGGCCCCUUUAUGGAUGGCAUAACUCCAAGGUCUCCAAUGAAGUUCUUCAACCAUAUAGCCUCCUUUUACGAUUCGCUCGCCGCAAUGUACUCUGAUUCGCACAUUAAUCAGCUACGGUCUCCUGCUUGCAACUUUUCCAAGUCACUGCUCCUCCAUUUAGGGUAAAGACCCAACCCGACUGCGAUUGGUAAUUAUCCCGAUCCGUCUGGAAACUAGCGUCACUAUACCCUCGUAACCUUAAGUCAUCACUCCCACUGAGGACUAGAAACCAUUCCUUGGUCCUUUGUAGGUACUUAAGAAUAUUCUUAACUGCAAUCCAAUGAGCUCUACCAGGGUUCCCUUGAUAUCUGCUGACCAUGCUCAAAGCGAAGGCCACAUCAGGGCGAGUACAAGUCAUAGCGUACAUGAUAAAGCCUACUACAGAACCGUAAGGUACUCGUCUCAUAUCAGCUAUCUCUGCCUCUGUACUCGGGCUCUGACUCUUACUCAACUUGGUAUUGCUUUGGAUUGGCAACUCCCCUUUCUUAGAAUUUUCCAUACUAAAACGCUUUAGUACCUUAUCCAAGUAUGUAUCCUGACUGAGUCCUAUCAGUCUCUUUUCCCUGUGUCUCACUAUCCUUAUUCCCAGAAUAUAAGUAGCCUCUCUGAGGUCCUUCAUAACGAAACAUUUCCCAAGCCAGGACUUGACCUCCUGUAAAGUUGGGACGUCAUUUCCUGUGAGCAGUAUGUCAUCGACAUACAAUACGAGGAAGCUCACUAUACUCCCACUGGCUUUGACAUAUACAUAAGAUUCAUCUUCGCUUCGCAGAAAGCCAAACUCUUUAACUUUCUCGUCAAAACAAAGAUUGCAUCUGCGAGACGCUUGUUUCAAUCCAUAAAUGGAUUUCUCAAGCUUGCACACUCUAUUUGGAUGCUUCGCAUCGACAAAACCCUCUGGCUGAUUCAUGUAAACAUCCUCAGCCAACUUUCCAUUAAGGAAAGCGGUUUUCACGUCCAUCUGCCAUAUUUCAUAAUCAUGAAACGCAGCUAUUGCAAGCAUUACCCUAAUAGACUUUAUCUUCGCAACUGGUGAGAAGGUCUCAUCAUAGUCAACUCCGGGAGUUUGAGUAAAGCCCUUCGCAACCAAUCGCGCUUUAUAAGUAUGCACUUUCCCAUCCAUGUCCGUCUUCUUCUUGAAGAUCCACUUGCACCCGACUGUCUUACGACCCGGUACAUUAUCAACCAAAUUCCAAACUUGGUUGUCGUACAUGGACUGAAUCUCGCUGUCCAUCGCCUCUUUCCAUUUAGCAGACUUCAGGCCUGCCAUGGCUUCCUUGUAGCUGCUAGGUUCGUCCAAAUUCAUUAGUGUUUCAUCACUAAUAAACGUAUCCCCUUCACUAGUAAUAUGAAAACCAUAAAACUGGGGUUGAACACUAACUCUACUAGAAUGUCUAAGAGGUAAGGACUCGUCAACGGGUUCAACAGGAGUUUCCUCCUCGAGUUGAGUGCCAGCGUUAAAGGUUCCUUCAUCGCUUUGCUCUUGAAUCUCCUCAAGAUCAAUUUGCCUCCCACUGUCCUCUUGGCUUAUCAAUUCCCUUUCUCGGAAAACUCAUCUUCUAGCAACGAAGACAACAUUGUCACUCGGUCUAUAGAAAAGAUAGCCAAAAGACUUAUGCGGGUAGCCGAUGAAAUAACACUUCUCACUACGAGGUUCGAGCUUGUCGUGAGUCUCUCAUUUUAUGAAAGCCUCGCAUCCCCAAACCUUAAUAUGUGCCAACGAGGGAGCUUUCCCUGUCCACAUCUCGUGAGGAGUCUUGGUAACCUUCUUGGUGGGAACUAAGUUAAGGAUAUGGGCGGCAGUCUCUAAGGCAUACCCCCAGAAAGCUAUUGGUAAUGAAGUCCGACUCAUCAUAGAACGAACCAUGUCCAACAAGGUCCGAUUACGUCUCUCAACCACACCAUUCAAUUGUGGCGUUCUCGGAGGCGUCAAUUGCGAAACAAUUCCGCGUUCUUUUAGAUAGUCGUGAAACUCAAGACUUAGGUACUCUUCUCCUCGGUCUGACCGAAGCAUUUUGAUUUUCCUGCCCGGCUGAUUCUCCACUUCAUUCUUAAACUCUUUGAACUUUUCAAGGGUUUCCGACUGUUGAUUGAUUAAGUAGAUAUAUCCAUAUUUGCUAUAAUCAUUCGUAAAAGUCACGUAGAAGCGGCAAGCAUCCCUUGUGGUGGAUCUAAAGGGCCCACACACAUCGGUGUGUAUGAGAUCCAAUAGACCCUCACCCCUUUCAAGAGUGCCAGUAAAGGGUGACUUAGUCAUCUUCCCAAGUAAACAAGAUUGACACAUGUCAUCGUCCUUAAGGUCGAAUGACUCCAACACUCCAUCCUUUUUGGAGUUGGGCUAUGUGUUUCUUGUUGACAUGGCCAAGGCGACAAUGCCAAAAGCAUGCUUUGUCUAGGCUAGUAAACGAAUCAAUAUUCAAAACAUCAUUUCCUAAAUUAUCAACAAUCAUCACAGAUUCAUAAAUCCCAUUACAAGGUAAUGCAUUGAAAUAAAAGACACCAUUCAAAUAAACAAUAAUAGAACCAUUACUAUUAUCAAAAGAAUAUUUGAAACCUUAUCUAAACAAUCCAUGAAAUGAAAUAAUGUUUCUUGCCAUAUCUGGCGAAUAACAGCAAUUAUUUAAAUCUAGCCCUAACCCAUUACUCAACACUAAAGAAUAAACUAUGACUUUGGUCACAGACGAUGAUAUUCUGUUUCCCAUAAUCAAGUUCAUCUUUCCAUGUUCCACUUCCCUGCUUCCUUUUAGGCCCUGCAAAUCAGAACAAAUGUGGAAGCCACAUCCUGUAUCAAGAACCCAUGAAGUAGCAAAUCAUGAGUUGUUAGAUUUAAUAGAAUACAUACCUGCAACGGUGGGCUUAAUCUUCCCAUCCUGUAUAUCUUGCAGAUACUUAGGGCAGCUUCGUUUCCAAUGGCCCUUUCAUGGAAAUAAAAGCACUCUGCUUCCUUGGGAUCGGAGGAGGGUUUAGCGGUGCCUGCUUUGGUCCCACUAGAGGAUGAACCAUCACGGGACUUUCCCUUUUGGUGGCUCUUACAUGGAGCCUACUUCUUUUUACCCUUUCCUUGACCUAUUGCCAUCACAGGAGCAGCCACAACAGGGGAUGGUGCAACAUAUUUGUUUUUGAGGUUGCUCUCAGCAGUCCUCAACAGUCCUUGGAGCUUGCUCAAGGAGACCUCCUCCUUGUUCAUAUGGUAGGUCAUUCUGAACUAGUUGUGGCAGGAGGGCAAGGAGUGGAGGAUUAUGUUGAUAGCCAAAUCCUCAUCAAACUUAACAUUAAGUUUGAGAAGACGAUCAACAUACCUCUGCAUUUUCUGCAAAUGAGAGGUUAGGGAUUCUCCACUCCCCAUCUUAGCAGUGAUCAUGUUAGUAAUGAUCUCAUAGCGCUCUCGCCUCGCGCUCUGGUGGUACCUGUCCAGCAAAUCCUGAUGCAUUUCAUACGGAUACAUGUCCUCAUAGGACUUUUGGAGUUCGAGGUUCAUGGUGGCCAGCAUGAUGCAAUGAACUUUCGUAGCAUCACGCUCGUGGGCCUCAAAGGCGGCCAGCUCUUCCGGAGUAGCAACAUCUGGGAUGAUCUUUUCAAGUUUUUCAUCGAGUACAUAUUCUUUGUUCUCGUAGCGUGUGAUCAUGCGAAUGUACCUCAUCCAUUUGUUGAAGUUUGACCCAUCAAAUGUCACCUUUUGACAUAGGUUCAUCAACGAGAAUGACCCAGAAGCGUUGUUGUUGUUGUUUGUAGACAUCUGAAAAAGAAAGGAACAAAGUUUGAUUAGAAAUGAGUCCCUAAUUAAACACCCAAAUGAGAAAUUAGGGCUAGGACCCAACAACAUUAUUUACAACCUAGAAAAGGAUGUCGUACUUUAAAAGUAAAUAAUUUGAAGGUAAGUGAAUGACGAUUCACUAAUUCUCACCAUGAAAAACGAAAAAAGAGAUUUAAGUUUUAAAUGUAUUUGAAAACUCCUAGAUCUUUGAGAUUCAUUGAACUUUUCAAUGGCAUGUUUAAAUUUCGAUAUGCACUUCAAAUUUGCGACUGGGAUACCGAUGAUCGCAAACAAGUUGUGAAUAAUCAUGCGAAUCAACAUGGUGCACUCAAUGUCUCUAUCACCUAAUCAAUGUGUCGGUAAACCACACACACUCCAUUGAUCUAUGACAAACAUCGAGUCACCCUUCACUACCAAUGUCAUCCCUAAAUUAGUGUGCCGGUUAACCACACGCGCUCCACCUACAUUUGACAAGGGUACAAAGUGUAAUUCCACGGGUUAGCAUCAUUUUCAAAUUUUACCCUAAAGUAACUAAGAUUGGGAAUUUGUAAAACAAGUUAGUUACUUUGUAUCUUACAUUAUAUAUUUAAUGAGGAGAGGAUUGCCCUAUUCUACCCGUUCGGCUAACGACCCUCCACUAGUCAAGCAAGCGGUGGGUGUGAGUGUACACCUAUUAAGCAUCAUUUUAUAGGUAGCAACCUUAUACCCACCUUAUAGAUUGGCUUCGUGAAUGAGGCCUACUAACGGUAAGACUAGAAUUUUAAACUUGUAAAAUUCUAAGGGUUUGAAAUUUAAAUUAUUCAAAAUUAAACUUUUAAUCACAAAAUUUAAAUUUCAAAACUUGAGGACAAGUUUUGAACUUUUCAAAACACAAGGGAUCAAAUAACAAAUAAUACAAAAUAAACAAUUGAUUUUAUAAUUAUCUAUAUUUGACCUAAUCCAAUUUUAGUCACAAGAUAAUUACCAAAUAAUUUAAAUAAUCCAUAUUUAUCAUAUAAACAACUAAUAUUCAAAAGAUUUGAAAUUAUCUAUUGUUUUGGCAGGGAUAAUCAUUCAAAUACAAUAAAAUUCGGAUUUUAUCUUCAAAAAACGAUUUAGGCAUUAAUCCCAUGACAAAACAUCAACAAAAUCCCGAAAUAUCCUCUGCCUGAUGCACAGACUCGCCGAGUCGAGCCUACUCGUCGAGUCUAGAUACUGACUCGCCGAGUUGAGCCGGGCAAAGGCAAGAAAAAAUGAUUUUCAGCAAGCAAACAGUUAAAGCAUCACAUACAACUGAAACCAAUCAUAGCUCUGAUACCACUGAUGGGAUUUUAUGCAUAAGAACAAUCAUAUGUGUUCAUACAAACCCUAAUGUUUGGAUCUAGGUUUCUCUAUUGUACAUGCUUUGAAUCCAAGACUUGUAACCUUAGAUCUAUCAUAUAUACUUCGAAAUCAACAUCGUAAGAACAUAUCUAAAUGUUUACCUCUUUCAAAUUGCUUGAAAUCCUUGUAGUCUUCUUGAUCUUGAGCUUAAAGUCACAAUUGUAACUCCUCUAAUGGUUCACAAACCCCACAAGCAAGAAGGCAAUAUGAGAGAGGGUGAGAGAUGCUAAAACCGGCCCUAGGGUUCUCUUGGAAUCAAGUGUAGCCGAUUUUCAUAUCCUAGGGGUCAUAUUUAUACUGUAGGCUGUUAGGGUUUCAAUCUAAACCCUAAUGGACAAUCUAGCCACCAAGUAGCCCAAGGAACCUUCUGGAAUAAGACCUUGGACGAAAAUGUGAUGGAUCCCCAUCAUAAUUUCGUUCCCCCUUAAGUCCAUUAGGUUUCCCAGCCCAAAACUCAACUAUCAUACAUUUGACAGUUUAUGCCCCUUUAUUUAAUUAAUCUCUUUUAGUCACCAAAUUAAUUCCUAAUUAAUUUAUGACCAAUACUAAAUAAAUAAAUAUGAUUUCUCAUUUAUUAUAUUAUUCUUAUAAUAUAUUAAUAAACCAUAAUGUUCUCUCUCUCUCUCUCUCUCUCUCUCUCUCUCUCUCUCUCCUUAAAUUACAUUGUCAAGUUGCUUUGGUGAAGGCAACCCAAAAUGACCAUGCACAACCGGGUCAAGUACAUAUCAAAUUUAGUUACGGGCUUAGACACUAAUCCAACACAACCAACAUCUUCAAAUCCAACAAGAAAUACCUCAUAACGACAUAGACGACUAGCACACAUAUUUCCCGAAGCAAUAGGUGCACUAGAUGAAACACUUAUACAAGCAGUUGUGUCUGUUGAUCAACAAACUCAUUAUAAGGAAAGAUGAAAUGUGAGUGUUAUCAAAAUGUAAUCGAAAUUUGUGAUUUUGAUAUGAUAUUCACUUUUUUAUGGGUUGGAUGGAAGAACGUAUCACAUGAUUUAAAAGUUUUGAAAGAAGUUGCAUUUAAUCCAACUUCCAAAUUUUCAUUCCCUCCACCAGGUUUGUAAUAUUUCUAUAACUUUUAUUAUCUAUAUUUAUAUAAUAAACUAGUUCAUAACCCGUGGGAACCAUGGUUAGAAAAUUAAUUAAACUUUCUAAGUAAAAACUCAAAACUAUUAAUUAAUAAUUUUAAAUAACUUUUAAAUUAAGAGAUAUUAUGUUAGUUAUAUAUAAAAUUAUAAUCGUUGAUUCAAAUAAAUACGUAAAAUAUAUUAUCUUAUAAUUUGUAUAAAUUUUAUUUUUUAUAGUUUGUUUAAUUUAAUUUUAUUUGUAUUCUAAUGUUAUUAAUUUAAUGUAAUUAAAAUGCGAUUUAAAUUUUGAAAUUUGAAAUUUGAAAUGGAGAAUCAAUAAAUUGACAAGUGUCAUGAUAUUAAUUACAAUGUCUAAUAUGAUGACACUUGACAAAAUAACUACUAUUUUAUUAAUAUAAGGAGACGUGACACUCAUUUACAUAUCAAUAUUACAUUUAGGAUGUCGCAUACAUUAUUUAUGUCUCCCUACCAAAAUACAUAAUGUUAAAAUGAUAAUUUUUCAUAAUUCAAUAUAGUCGGUUAGAGAAAUAAUCAAACAAUAUAAACUCAGUCAGAUAUCAAUUCAGUCAUAAUUUCUAACUCAGUCAACUCUAAAACAUAGUCAUGAAUUAUUAAACGACCCCUAAAAUAUACACUUUAUAAGUAUAUGAAAUAAUUUAACUACGUUUUAAAUUUAAAUAUUACGCUUUGAUUAUUUAAUUACGAAUUUAUUUAAGUUUCAUAAAAUAUGUUUUAUAAUAAACUAUCAAGAGAAGUUUAAUUUCUUAUUUGAUUGGACGUUUAUCUCUGAAAUUUGUCUGUUUUUCUUUUUCUAUUGAAAUUAAAGCGAUACAUUUAUUCGUGUAGACAUCGAUAAUUAACUGAAACCACUUAUUUCCUUCUAAUAGGUAGGUCAUUUAAUAUAAGUUUUUAAAUAUUCAAAUACAAUGAACAGUUCAUAAGAGUAAAUCGGAUAAAUUCAAAUAUUCAGAUAUCACAUUGGUUUAUAAGUUGAGCUUUCUUAACAAAGAAAAAGAAAACGAAGGGCUGCUUUAAUUGAUGAAUUAGGACUUGUAUCGUUCAUGCUUUGUUAAGUUGUGUUUUACGCAUAAGGAGUUCUACGAUGUUCAUGUAUAGAACCGGAAAGAUAAGGGAAUUAAAGAUCACGACAACGAAAGAGAUGAAACGUUGAGUGCCACGUGGAGUGCUGGGACCCACUAUCGACAUCCAAAUCGCAAAAAGCAUGGGACACGUGAACCGUGGAGAAAUGCCGAGGACAAGGCUAUCACGUGCUUAUGAGUGGUAUCGUGGACGGUGGCUAUCGUAUCAGCCGCCUGUACGGAACGGCUCAGAUUUCCCAUGACUGCUUUUUGACCAGGAAAUAUUAUAAAAUAGAAAAAACCUAUAUAAAUUUAUUUAUUUUGUAUCUUCUGAGUUAUUAUUAUUAUUAUUAUUAUUAUUAUUAUUAUUAUAUUUGUCGGCAGUUAAAAAAACAUCAAUUAAACGUUAUUUAUUAAAGAAAAUAACUUGAUAAAAAAAAUAUCAUUUAAUUUUUUUCACUUUUUAGGCCGAUGGUUGUUUUCUUUCUCUAUCUAUCUUAAAAAGUUUUUUUUGUCUAUCCUAUCGUCAUUUUAUUAUUUUCCUUUCACUUUUCUUCCCCGUCUAUCCUAAUAAAUAAAAAUGUUUUUGUCAAAUAUCAUGUUUUUAUUUAAUUUGAUAUAUGUCAUUUUGUAGGAUUUUUUGAUUUUUUCUUUUCCACUUGGCAUUUUCUUGUGCUUUCAAUUUUCUUAAAUUUAAAAGUAAAUUCCAUAUUUUAUGCGAGUUUAUUUAUAUUAUGUAGAAUCAUUAAAUUAAAUUUCAAUAACCAUACCAAAAAAACGUACAACUACAAAUUGGGGCAAUAAUCAAUUCUUCCAUUAUUAAAUGUUUACACAUCAUAAUUUUCAUUUAUACAAUAACUUUUUCAAAACAAAAAAUGUUAUGGAAUCCAAUUAUAAACAAAGAAAUUAGUUUUCAUUUAUUAGGUAGAUAUAUUGAAAAACCUGAUCCUUAUUAUUUUAUAUUCAACUUUUUUAAAUAAACCUGUAUAAUACACGUGACUCACACCUAGUUCUUAAUAAGAUGGGAGGAUAUGGAAGGGAUGUUUCCCUCACUUUUUGUAGACAAUAUUACAUUUUUCUUCACUUUUCUUUCUCUCACUAAAACUUAAAAGAUAGGUGGUAAGGGCUUCCCUCACUAUUUUUUUUAAAUAAAAUUAAUUGAUUUUUAUGAUUUAUAAUUUUUAGAUUAAAAAUAACCAAAAAAAUUAAUUAAAAAGAAAAUGCAUUACGUUAAUUAAAAUAAAAACUACAAUAAACCUAAAAUUUUAAAAACUAGAAAUUUAAAGAAAAAAAAACACAUACUAAAAAUCAAACAAACCAACGACCUAAGAAAAAUAUUUUUUUAUAAUUUUUUCCCAUUUCUUCAUCACGAGCUCGAGAGUCGGUCCCGAGAGAUGAUCAAUGUUUUCCAUCAAAAACUUCAUAUCCUCCAUUUCUUGUCUCUCCGUCCGAUCCUUUUUCCUUGCUUCUUCUUUUUCUUUGUCGAAAGUCAAACGUUCGGAGAAAUUAAGAUUAUAUUGAUCAAAUGACGUUAUUUUCCGCAUUUCGUCAAGGUUCGUACUGAAAGAUGCUCCCGAAGAAGUCCCUUUUCCCUUUCUCUUCGCUAUGUCCCUACCCAUUGGGCGGACAAUUUCUUCUAGUUCGAGUUCGUCAUCCUGAUUUAAAUCUAGACCAACCCAAGCAUCGGAGGAGAUCGUGUAACCACUAGAGCCCGUUUUCGUUCGCUUUGAUUGUUGGACUCCAAAAAUAAAAUCUUGCUUGUAUUUUUUCCACCUAGGACAUCGGACCAAUAAUUUCCAACAAUCGUACCACUUGAAUGGUUUUCCGACUUCCUCAAGAUAAAACUACAAAGCUUUUUGAAGUAUUUGUUCGUCGCCUUUGCCGCUUUUUCGUUGGGUUUUUAGGUUGUUGUACAACCCGUUUAUUUUUGAAACGCCCUUUGCUAUUUCUCGAAAUUUCGAAUUCAGUUGAUGUUUCGUAUAGUAAUCAUCACCUUUUUCUAGCUCUUUUCGAAACCGUUCCAAAAUGUGAAACCAAAAAUGGUCUCCCGGUUGUGCGUUUCCUUGAAUCGAAUCUUCAGAAAUGUCAGCCCAAGCUUUGAACAAAACUAGCUCUUCGUGUGGAAGCCAUGUUGUCGGCUUUUGUCUUCCCGGUUGUGCGACACCCUCGCANCGCACGCUUGUUCCCUUUACGUCUUUGUGGGGGUGGUGUUGGUUGAGUUUCGGGAUCCAUCUCUUCUUCUUCCGAGCUAUCCAACUCAUCGAUAAGUUGGCGUUAUUGUAGGGUUUGGGUUUGAGUUUGAGUUUGAGUUUGGGUUUGGGUUUGGGUUUGGGGUUGAGGUUGAUUUGGCGAUUGUUGAUCUGGAAACACAACAGAGUUUGAAAACAUUUGCGGCGAAACAUUUGGAACUUGGAUCGGGAAAUAUUGUCCAACAUUUUGGUAUUGGAAUUGUAGUGGGGAUUGAAUGGGAACAUCGAGUUGGGGGCGAUAAACUCCUUGUGGUGACGGCUGCUGCCACGACUCCUUGGCUAUUAUUACUACAAUAACACUUAGUUAAAACCUGAUAAUUAUCCUUAGGGUAAAAUGACCAUUUUACCCCUGGUCAAAGUCAACGAUUUGGUCGAAGGCAACCUUCUGGUUGACGCAACUCGUCGAGUUGCCCUAUCAACUCGUCGAGUCUUAGAACCUGAAAUCGCGAUCUAACUCGUCGAGUCACCCCCCGACUCGUCGAGUUCCCAGGAUACUCAGAGUCGUGAUCUAUCGAGUCAACUCGUCAAGCUAUUUCACUGACUCUUUGAGUUCUAGCUUAAGCUAAAACAGGAAUAACCAACUCGAUUCGUUGAGUCCCUCUAUGGACUCGCCGAGUUCCUCUGUAUGAUUGAUCCAUCUCAAUGGAUUAAGAUCUUACCCUUCAGAUCCAAGCUCCAUACUUCAUAUACACACUAGAAAUACACUUUUAAGGGUAAAGUUUCCAACUUCACCCGCUAUUAGUCCUUCUUAAAGGGUUUAGCUCAAACCCUAACUCUCUAGGACAUAUAUCUUGCUCCACAAGCCAUAAUACUCUAAACCAAAGCAUAUCAUACUAGAUCCAGACCUUGGAGAUCAGUUGGGCACAUAAAGUUCCUAGCUUUCCUUCCAUGCAUGGCCUUUUAGGGCUAAAAAGGCCAUAAUAACAUUGUUAAGCUUGCAUAGGGCUUCCAUGGUCAUAAAGUUUGCACCUUUAUGCUAGGGAACCCCUUCUAGAUCCCAGAUUUGAAAUGUAAGUCACUUGGGACGUCUAAAUCACAAAGAACAAGGUUCUUGAACCCAAACCCUCAUAAAAAUGGAAGUAAAUAGAUCUAAUGAAUGAAUGAUCAAGUUAGAGACUUGAUUACCAGAAAGUGAUGAGGAUGAAAGGAAAUCCCUGGAUCUACAAUCUUUUCCUUGAACCUUGUAGCUCCUUCUUCUUCUUUUAACUUCAAGAACACACAAAAUCACUCAGGAAUGGCUUACACACUCAUAAAAUGCUUUAGGGUUUCGUGGAUUAGGGUUUAGUACUUGGAGGCUGGAAAUUAGGCCAAAAGGUGGGGAUUAAGAUGCUUAAAUAGAGUGCAAAACCCCAAAAUUAGGGUUUCGCUCUAGCAUACCUACUCUCGAUUCGAGGGAUCUCGACUCGUCGAGUAGAUAGUUGAAAAACCACGUCCAUGACUCGGUUCUACUUAACGAGUCUGGGGCUUCCAACUCGCCGAUUAUCUCUAUAAAAACGAAUAAUUUAUAAAUAAAUGCGUACCCGAUAUCAGGCAUUACAAUUCUCCCCAACUUGACUUAGACUUCAUCCUUGAAGUCUGCUGCAUCUGGAAACAACUCCGGGUAGUGCUCCCUCAUAUCCUCAUCAGGCUCCUAAAUCCACUCAGAACCCUUGCGGUGCUGUCACUGCAUCUUCACUAGCCGAAAAACCUUGUUCCUCAAGGUUUUCGUCUUGCGAUCCAGAAUCGCCACCGGUCUCUCAAUGUAGUUCAGGAUAUCGUCAACCGGAAUAUCCUCUAAGGGUACAAUCGCUGAAUCAUCCACUAAGCAUUUCCGUAACUAAGAAACAUCUAAAGUGUUGUGGAUAUGGCUGAGCUCUGCUCGAAGAAGUAAUCGAUCUGCCACCUUGCCCACCCGGGCUAUAACCCUGAAAGGACCAAUGUAUUUGUGACCCAGCUUGCUCCGCUUCCGGAAUCGGAUGACACCUUUCCAAGGUGACACUUUCUGGAGAACCAUAUCGCCCACCUGAAACUCCAAGUCUAAACAUUGCUUGUCGGUGUAGCUCUUCUGCCGACUUUGAGCAGUCUGGAGCCUGCUCCGGACCUGCUGGAUCUGCUCUGUAGUCUUGACUAUUACCUCAGUACUCCCCAUGACUCUCUGACCGACCUCACCCCAACCGACUGGGGUCCUACACUUCCUCCCAUAGAGCAUCUUGAAGGGAGGUCGGUCUAUGCUGGUGUGGUAACUUUUGUUAUACGAAAAUUCCGCUAACGGAAGAUACGUAUCCCAACUGCCACCGAAAUCCAAAACACAUGCGCGUAGCAUGUCCUUGAGAGUCUGUAUCAUCCUCUCGCUUUGUCUGUUCGUCUUGGGGUGGAAAGCGGUGCUGAAGUGGAGACGAGUACCCAUCUUUUCAUGAAACCGCUUCUAGAAUCUGGAAGUGAAACGGACAUCUCGGUCUGACACUACCGAGACAUGCACUCCAUGUCGUGCCACUAUCUCCCGCACAUAAAUUUCAGCUAACCUGUCGGCCGAUAUAUUGUCCUGGAUCGGGAUAAAAUGAGCACUCUUGGUCAACCGAUCCACGAUGACCCAUAUCAAAUCAACCCCACAUACGGUCCCGGGAAGCUUAGUGAUGGAAUCCAAAGUGAUAUCUUCCCAUUUCCACACGGGAAUGUUUAAUGGAUGCAUCUUGCUGUGGGGCCUCUGGUGCUCUUCCUUGACCUUCCUGUAGGUCAAGCAUCUCUCCACGUACCAGGCAACAUCUCGCUUCAUGUCGGGCCACCAGUAAUCAGGACGAAGAUCUCUGUACAUCUUCGUCGCCCCGGGAUGGAUAGAGAACCUAGACUUGUAGGCCUCAUCCAUCAAAAUCUAUCGUACUCCGCCCUAGUACGGUAUCUAGACCCUCCCAUCCAGGGUCAACAGCCCCUGACUAUCUUAAUCAAAGGAGGCCACCUGGACUAUGAUCCGAUCGCACUUCCAGCGCUUCUCCUUCAGGCCCUCUACAUGCGCCUCUCUAAUAUGCUCUAGCAAUGGAUUAAUCACUGUCAUCGUCAGACAUAUAUCUCGAAUCUGGGCUGUUACUGCCUUGCGGCUCAGGGCAUUGACCACCUCAUUGGCCUUUCCCUGGUGGUAAAGGAUCUCACAGUGAAAAUCUUUCACCACAUCCAACCAUGGACGAUGCCUCAUGUUCAGAUUCGACUGAUCCAUGAGGUACCUCAAGCUCUUGUGGUCCGUGUAAAUGGUACAACGAACCCCAUAGAGGUAAUUCUGCCAAAUCUUGAGGGCGAGAACCACAGCCCCCAACUCUAAAUCGUGCGUCAGAUAGUUAGCCUCAUGAGGCUUCAACUGCCUCGAUGCAUAAGCUAUCACAUGACCCCGUUGCAUCAAUACUGCUCCCAUGCCUAUGAUCGAAGCAUCACAGUAAACUACGAAGUCAUCAACUCCCUAUGUUAAGGUCAAAAUCGGUGCCUCACAUAACCGUUGUCUGAGGGUCUCGAAGGCUGCCUGUUGCUUAGGCUCCCAAUGGAAUGUGACCGACUUCUUGGUCAGUCGGGUCAGGGGAACGAAGAUCUUGGAGAAAUCCUGGAUGAAUCUCCGAUAGUAACCCGCUAGACCAAGAAAACUCUGAAUCUCAGUUGGAUACCUCAGAACCUCCUAUUACAUCACAACCUCUAUCUUAGCCAGGUCAACCAGAAUACCCUUCUGGUUGACAAGGUGCGCAAGAAAUUGCACUUUGCGCAACCAGAACUCACACUUAGCGAACUUUGCCAAAAGUCUCUCCCUCCUCAGUGUCUCCAGCACCUCCCUCAGGUGCUCCUCAUGCUACUCUUGAGUCUUGGAAUAGACCAAGAUAUCAUCGAUGAAAACUAUCACAGACCGAUCCAACAUCGGUCUGCAAACACGGUUCAUGAGGUCCAUGAACGCGUCUGGAGCAUUGGUAAGCCCAAACAGCAUCACCACAAACUCAUAAUGACCAUAGCGAGUCCUAAAAGCAUUUUUCUGCACAUCCUCGUCCCUGACUCGCAUCUGGUGGUACCCCGAUCUCAGAUCAAUCUUGGAGAAUCGAGAUGAACCCUGUAGCUGGUCAAACAAAUCAUCAAUCCUCGGGAGGGGGUAACGGUUCUUCACCGUUACCUUAUUCAACUGUCGGUAGUCUAUACACAUGAUGUGACCCAUCCUUCUUCUUUACAAACAGGAUCGGGGCUCCCCAUGGUGAACUACUCGGCCUGAUAAAUCCCUUGUCUAGCAGUUGCGUAGACAACUCCUGCAUCUCAGAAGGAGCCAACCGAUAUCGUGCCUUGGCUAUCGGAGCAGCACUAGGGACUAGGUUAAUCCUACACUCGACCUGUCUCUCUGGAGGUAUCCCAGAUAAAUCCUCUGUAAAUACAUCCGGGUACUCUCGCACCAUAUGUACAUCAUCCAUUGUCGUCUUACCCUUGCCUCGUGUAUCCAUAACAUAUGCAACGUAACCCACACAACCAUGAUGAAGGUAGCGCCUCGUUCUUGCUACUGAACACAAAGUCGGUCCACCUUGCGGCCUCUCGCCCUGAAUCACAAACGCUCCCCCACUAGGAGUCUGAACCCUCACUAGUUGCUGCUCGUAGUCGAUCACUGCCCCAUUAGGGCUCAACCAGUCCAUACCAACUAUAACCUUAUUUCCUUAUAGGGGAAUAGGGACUAGAUCCAUAAAAACCUACUCAUCGAACAACUGCAGUGUACAUCCUCGGUGAACCCUCGCAACCCUGACGGUCCUAUCAUAUGUUAUCUCUUCAUCAAGUGGGCAAUCCAGCUCCCCGGGAGCCCCUGUGAAUGGCUUGCUGAGAGUGAGCGACACAAGGGAUCGGGUGGCACCCGAAUCAAACAGUACCAAAGCUGAUAUAUCGCUCACUAAGAACGAUCCAAUAAUAAAACACUUAAACAAAAGCAAUAAUCAAUAUCAAUAAAUAAGAUAAGGGAAAAUACAUACCCGUCACCACGUCGGGAGCUGUUGGUGCCUCCUAUGUUGUCAACUAAAAGGCCCUGAUCUUCACCAUAGGCGCCUCACCCCGACCCGGAUGGCAGUCUGUAGUCCUCAAUGUAGCAGGGGUGGGUGCUGCCACCUGCCCUGCUGCUGCUAGACUCGGGCACUGGGACCGCUUGUGUCCCCUCUGAUUGCACUGAAAGCAAAUCAAAUAUGAUAUUUUCGUGGUGGUGGUAGUAGUUGUACAAUCUCUGCUUACAUGUCCAGUUCGGCCGCACUUGAAGCAGCCUGAACUCCCCGCCUUGUACGUCACAUCAUGCAUCUUGCCGCAUUUGCCACCACGGCUGCGGCCCUGCUAGAUUCUAGGUUUGUGGUCUGAUACCUUGGGCUUCUUACCCGAACUCGCUGUUUGAACUCCCUCGGGUUUCCUCUUCCUCUCCAUCUCUAAAUCCAACUCCCUCUCUCGAGCCCUAGCAAUCAUGUCCUCCAACGUCAAUAACAGGUGCAAACUCGGCCCUAAACUUGACCGAAAAAUCACUCCAAGUCAUCAAAUCCAGAACUGCGUCAUCUCCAAUGGCUUGUCUGACCUCCUGACACUGGUCACGCGCCUUGUCCAUCAGGAGACAGGACGCAAGUCGAACCUUGUCCACCUCGAGACAUCUAUUGGUGCGGAAUGCGUUAGGGAAGUCCACCAACCAUCCGGUACUCACAAUGGGGUCGCGAGUCCCAUGGUAGCCGGGAGCUCCACAAGCUCUGAACUCCCUGAAUGUUAGUAUGCGCGACGCCAUCAUGGACGCCACCUCGGUGCAGAAAGCACUCAAUCUCUCGUCUAGAAGCUCCAAAAUACCCUCCUUCAUUGUGCUGAAGAUCACAGGAGUCUGAUCCAGGAUACUUCACGUGAUGUCAGAGGAGAUGAACUCCGUAGUGUGGUCAUAUAGCUGCCCGACUCCUAAGCAUGAGCCCGAUCCUUCACCGGCGCCUGAACUGCAGACUAGCCUAGUGCGUAAAACCACCAUUCUGAAAAACACAUCAUAAUAAAUAUCAGAAUACUAAUCAUAUCUCAAGGGAUCAUACCUAUACUACAAGUUCCUUGGAUUCAUCUUAGCCUUCCUUUACUCGAGUAUGGGUCCUCUUCUUUCAGUAGUACGGGCCUAUACUACCUUCCACAUCUAUCCAUACUUUCCUCAAGAACUGCCUUGACUUCACCAAGUCCCUUCUACUACUACUACGUCACGCGCUACUCUCAUCCUAGGCUUGCCCUAGAGUAAUCACCAUCCUACUCUCCGCCAUCAGCUGCAUAAGAAGUCCCUGUUUCCUUCCCUUAACUAGCUUACGAAUACCAUUACAUAUCACUAAGACUAGAUAAUUCUUCAAAUGAGAGAUCCUACCCAACAACGGUUAGACUCAAACAAGAGCUGUGAAAUAGAGCUAGACCUAACCUUCUGAAAUUAUUUAGUCCUCACAAUAUGUAACUUAAAAUAUUCGUUUACCAGUUAGUAAAAGACAACUAGAACUCCUAAAAGCACAAAGCAAGCAGCAUUCGAGCAUUGAGUAAACAUUACCAAGCAUAUCUCAUUCAGGCUAUCCCUAACUAAUCUGUACUAGCUUGCAGUUUUUGAAGAUGAGAUACAUAUAACAGGCAUAUAAGGCAUCCUCCCUAGAUCCUUAGCCCUAAUCUAGCAUGCAAUUCUCAUAAAGCUGAUACACAUAUAACAGGCAAAUAAGGUAUCCUUCCAAGAUCCUUUGUCGUACUCUAGCAUGCAGUUCUCAUAACAUAACAUAAACUUGUGUGGGUAAUUUGUGUCACACCCCAAAACCACGAACGGCGGAAACGUUAAGGGGUGGAGGACAUCAUGUAUAGUAUCACAACAGUGCAAUAUAAUAAACAAGCAACAACAUCAUCCAUUGCAUUAUAAGUAGAGUUUUAAUACAUGUGUGUUCUUUCAUAAUGUACAACAAUAAAAUGAAUAAUCAAAAUAAGGCGAGUCUUGUCUGUGCUCCAUUUUCUCCGGUAACCUGGCCAUCGCACCUGUCUAACUGAUGACCUGAGAAUACAAGUUAUUUUGAAAGAGAGUAUCAGCUUUAAAGCUGGUGAAUUCAUAAGUAAUUAAGUGUCGUUGUCUUGCUUAUGAAAAUCUAUUAUGAAGGCCAUGUAAACCUUUAAAUGAAAAUGUUGAUGUAAGUAUGAAAAACCCUAGAAAAUCCCUUAUUUUCUAUUAGUUUGAGAUGUAGUCUUCUACCAAGACCCGAAUGUUUUGUUAUGGCAAUAUAGUCUUCUUCCAAGACCCGAAUGUUUUGUUAUGAUAAUGUAGUCUUCUACCAAGACCCGAAUGUUUUGUUAUGAUAAUGUAGCCUUCUACCAAGACCCGAAUGUUUUGUAAGUAAAAUGAUAGUUUUUCCUUUCUAUUGACUAGUACUAAAAGUGCUUAGUCUAACUCAUCGUUUAUGUGAAUAUAUCACAAAAUAAAGUAAAAUAGGAAAAUGUUAUGAUAGUCUUCUACCAAGACUUAAAUGUUCUGUAAGUAAAAUGAUAGCUUUUCCUUUCUAAUGAAUAGUACUAAAGGUGCUUAGUCUAACUCAUCGUUUAUGUGAAUAUAUCACAAAAUAAAAUAAAAUAGGAAAAUGUUAUGAUAGUCUUCUACCAACACUUAAAUGUUCUAUAAGUAAAAUGAUAGAUUUUCCAUUCUAUUGACUAGUACUAAAUGUGCUUAGUCUAACUCAUCAUUUAUGUGAAUAUAUCACAAAAUAAAGUAAGAUAGGAAAAAUAUAAUCAUGUAAGUGUUAUUAUCUUGGGUUACCAGGACAAACACGACAUCGCCGAAGCGAAAGAUAGACCCUAUGAACAUCCGAAGAGUGUUCCCUCAUCCUCUGUAGCGGCAGUAGGGUGGAGGGAGGGUUAGUCCCGAUAUCGAUCUCUUAAUACAGAUCGUUAACCUAAUGAUCCUCCGAAGAUUCACAUCUCAUCCACUGUUGCAACAGUGGACAGAGGGAUGGUUAGUCCCGUCACUGACUACUAAAUAAGUGACAACCUUAGACAUCCGUAGACGUUCAUCGACCACUGGUGCUAAUCAGUGGGAUUCGGAAUGGUAAGUCCCGCCGAAUUAUCCCAUUGAACUGGGAUAGGAAAGAUAAUUUACACAGUAAAUACUAAUAAAUCAUCCUCGUAGUUCUAAGUACAAGUAUCCAGGUAAGUAAAUACAGGAUAAUGCACCUAAGUAACAGUGUUCCUGUAUGGUAUUCAUGUAAGUGUGUUCAUGUAACAGGUAAGUAUAUGUAAACAUAUUCAUGUAUCAUGUAAUCCUAAGUAAGUGUACUCAUGUAUCAUGUAAGGUAUUGGUAUAGACUCAUGAAUGAACUGACUCUUGUGUGAUUCUUUGUAAUAGGAAUAAAUGUUUGUUUCUUCUAACUAUCCCUAUGAUAAUUAACUGGAAAGUAAUUGGUUGUUCAAGUAGAUUUAUGCACCCUUGAUACACCAGGGUGUGGGAAACUGAACGAAGGAUGGAAACUAUAACAUCAAUACAUAUAUAAGAACAUAUGCGUAUAAGUGUAGUUUCGUUCAAGAAGGUAAAAAUAAUGGUUUUGCAAGAUAUCUAGGAGUUUUGAACAAUAAUUAAGAAUGACUUGAUGUCAUUUUAAUAAACAUUUCAAAACUAAUACUUUUGUUAUCAAGGUAUUUUAAGAUAGAAAACCACUUCAUGUGUCACCUUUUGAAAUAUGUGAAAUCUACUGAGUGAAAACACAGUUAUAAAAUACAUAAGAUUGAUUUAAUAACAUACUGUUUUCUACUUGUAUUCCCCCCAUUAAAGCAUUUAAAAUCAUUUAAAACAUUGAUUAAGGGGUAUGAACUCACCUGUUGUUGGUGGUUCGGAUGAACUGGACGGUGUAGGAUUGCUAGGUGUCAAGUGAGGACUUGUACACACACUACGAUCCUAAUGAACAUAUAAUCACACAUAUAUGCACUCAAUUAGUCUCAAAUUACUAAUUGAUAAUGUUAAGACAUCCUAGACAUAAUAAACACUUUAUAUAAGUGUUUUAAGCCCUAAGGAUUGCAUCUAAGCUAUUGUGGGACAAGGCACUUGUGUUUAGGGUUCCAAAGGACCCCAUAUAUGAGUUUACUCCCCAUAUACCAUCACACAUGGAGUUUACGGUUGUAAACUCUUGAGUUUACGGCCGUAAACUCCCAACCAUGGGUGUAUUGUGUGUUUUGAAGUUCCAAAUGAUUCCUAGAAUUAUUCCAACUUGGUGGUUAAAUUCUUGGAAGGGUUUAAGGCCUAGAAACACUCCUUAGAGGAGUUUACGGCCCCAAGGCCAUUUCCUUUGGAGUUUACGGCCGUAAACUCCCUUGGAAUGGUGUUUUUGUUGCUUUCAAGUCUUUUGCAUAUGUAGGAUAGGUUCUAGACUUUUACCUAAAGCAUAUGAAGGCAUUAGGCACACUUUGGUGCCCUUCUUUCAUGUUUACGGCCCAAGAACCAUGUCUUGGCCGUAAACUCACUUUGGAAGGUGAUUUUGAUGUGUUUUGGUCCUUGAUUUAAGUGGGAACAAUUCCUAGUAAAUGUCCAAUGCUUUAGGUGCCUUAAAAGCACCCUUUUGUGCAUGAUUUUGGAGUUCACGGUCCAAGAUCAUCUUGGGCCGUGAACUCCCAAACUUGGGUGGUUCUUUGAUGUUUUCUUGUCCCUAAUACACUCUUAUAUAAGUCCAAGGCAGUAGUAUAUCUCGGGGGAAAGGCUAGGCAUUGUUUUCGGGAGUUUACCGCCCAAGAACACCUUGGGGAGUAAACUCCUAAAUCUAGUGAUUUAGCUAUGUAAUCUAUGUUAUGAACACAUUUAAAGCUAUAUAACACUACUAGAGAGGGGUACUCACGAUUUGGGAUAAAAACCCGAAGAUCCGUGAGAGAGAAAAUGGCUUUUCUCUAGUUGGAAAUGCGAAUAAUGAAUGAAUUUGGUUCAGAAUUCUAUUUAUAGUCCUGAGAUAUUUUUGGCAGAAAAUAUUUUUAUUCCUGAAAUGAUUUCUAAUAUAACAGAGUGUUGGAAUAACAGUGUUGCACAAAACCCUAGUGCAACCACUCUCCUGAUAUCUCCUUAAGUGUAAAUCCUGAAAAACUGCCAAACUUAUACCCGAAGUCUGGAAUUUCACUGAAACUGUUCUAAGCUCUAUUGUCUUGAUAUGGUUUGUUCAGAAUGGAAAUUUCGGGUUGUCACAUCAUCCCCCUGUUAAAGGGAAUUUCGUCCCGAAAUUAGAAUUUAGAUAAGGAAGUAGGUAUAAAUGAUCGAGUCGUUAGGUGAAAACUUCCUAAUCGAUUUGCUCUCGCGCUCCCAAGUGAAAUCGGGUUCUCAGUUGGUAUUCCAACGAACCUUCACUAAUGGGCGACGGCGUUGCUUCGUCCGCUUGGCCACUCGGUCGAGGGUCACUACGGUUCUAAUACGAAGGCAAGGAUCUCGUAAAUCUCGAUCUCGUCGAGAGGGAUUACGAAAGUCCUAAUGGAAGGAUACUGUUUCAAGUUCGAGACGCGAAGGGGAAAAUGUACGUUACUGAGUUCGCGGAGUAGGUCUAGUUUGUGAAAUGCAGGACCGAUUCUGGUAAGAAUCUCGGAGGUCCUAACUAUAUUGGAUUUUAGCUUUCCACGCUUUACGAAGCGUAUUAAGCCGUUCCCAGAGUGAGGUUUCCUAAAUAAUUUGGUCUCUCACUUGGAAUUCCAAAUGUUCUUUCUCUCGCUUACUUCCCAGUCAAGGGCCAUCCCUUGCUGGGUCAAAGUCGAAAGGGAUCCUGAAGUUUACAGGGAGUUCCGAAUGGACUAUGAUAGUAGGUCUGUAAGACCUAGAAUUUGGCAAAUAUUCCGUCGGUGACUAUGGUGCCGACAAAUUCCCAACGGUUUUGGAUAAUUUGACAGAGUACUCAAGAAUUUCCACAACACUAAAAUUGUGUCUCAGGAAAUUUGACUCUUCAGAGAACUUUGCGGAAAGUAUCUUCGAGGGUAAUGUUUCUAUGGGUUCUUUCUUACUAUGAGGGUAGAUAAGUAGUGAUUAUAUGGAGAAAUGACGAACUGAUCCCAGUAAGAAAGGCGUACUCUACUUAUUCAGCUCAUGAAUAUUAUGGCGUAUUGGUCCUAUCCGAGGGGUAUCACUACGGACUCGAAGUGUCCACAUCGAGUUUGGAGGGUAGUCUUUAGGACAUCCUUCCCUAACACUCGAACUGGUGAUAUUCGGAUCUCAGGUCCAUUUUUGAAGUAAUUCUUUCCCUGUGUUUGCCCAAUCAAUUCGUCUAUGUGAGGCAGAGACAACGAUUUCUAAAGGAAAUCUUAAUGAAGUCUCCGGUCGUCGAGGUACAUAAAAUGCACUCCGUCGACUUCUGGUAAGAAUAAGACCGGAGCUUUCAAGGGUGAGAAGCCUGGUCUUCUAUUUCUAUUGUUGAGUAGUUCGCUGUGUUGUCCGGGCUGUUCUUGUAUCUUCCGUAGGUGUUUAGACUGUAAGGCGAUCUGGUUAUAAGAGUCAUAUUGGGUUCUAAGUUUGUUCCUAUGCCAAUGCAAUUACUCGUAGUCCUAGACAGUCUCCAUCCUGAAGUUCAUAUUAGAAUUCAUACGUGAUUCAAUGAUCACAAUUUCGUGUAUACGAGUCGUAUAUAAUUAAGACUGAAAAGGUAGUCGAAUAACUGAUUCUUCCUUAAUCUCACAUCCCAUCGAGGGAAAAGAAGUUAAAGUGGAAUCAUCAAUUCUAAACCUGUAGAACAUUGAUUAUAUAUCACUCUCAUGUAUACAUUCUUCAGUGAUAGAUCAACCGUAUGAAUCCUGGAAUUGAACUUGACGUACNGGAAAAGAAGUUAAAGUGGAAUCAUCAAUUCUAAACCUGUAGAACAUUGAUUAUAUAUCACUCUCUUGUAUACCUUCUUCAGUGAUAGAUUAACCGUAUGAAUCCUGGAAUUGAACUUAACGUACUGCACGAGUAAUACUGUGGGGAUUCCUUCGGAAAGGAAAAGAACUAUAAGGUACUCCUUGUAUGAGUACUUCGGUGUUCUGAUAUAACGGCUUUACAGACAAAACACAAUAGUGAAACCGUUAACAGAGUUACUGUACUUAGGAUUUACUACAAGACUAUUGCUGCGAACAAGGUAUACUACAAAAGACAAGUAUACGCACCACGAGCAUCCCUAACAGACGGGAUCCCACAAAAUAUAAGACUCUGGUUGCACUAGUUUUGGGAUGGCUCAUAAUUCUGUUACAACGAAACGCCUAAAUUACAUUAACGUGGGUCCGGAGUAGACUCUCCUGCGGCGGUGGUCGGUAGCAUACUGCCGUGUGUGCCAGCUUUCGCUGCCUCUGUGCAGUUCCUUUUGUAAUGACCUACUUUGCCACAACCGUAGCAAACCUGGCUCCCACUGGUGUUUGGCACUUGAGCGUCCUGAGCUGUUGGCGUCCUGCAGAAACGGGCAGUAUGCCCCUUCCUGUUGCAGUGUGAGCACUGCAUCUCUUUACAAGGUCCAUGGUGGUGAAAACUGCAUUUAAUGCAUUUUGGGAGACUUCCAGCAUAAAAUUUGGCUGGUUUAGGGACAAUUGGGAUGUUCGAAGGGAUGGUAGUUGGAGGUGCUGAUGUCGUGGCUGUGAAGGUUGUUAGUGGUGGUUGUUUCCUGUUCGCCCUUCGAAGCGACUUGUCCUUAGAGUUAGUCCAAGACUUUCGUUUGAUACUCUUGGUCUUAGGGCUCGGGGUAUCGUGGUAGUUUGUUGCUUGCUGGGUACUGGAUUGUUACUUGGAUGGGAAUAGUUGUUAACAAUCCCGCUAACACUUGCGUUGUUAGUGUUCAGAUGGUUCAGAAUGGCUGACACGACAGCUGAGACUGCAACUUGAAAGAUAGCUGCAACAAUCUGAAGAGUUGGUGUUGGGUUGAUGGGCUGAUCGUUUUUCUUGGGUGACAUGAUUCUGUUACACCGAAAGAAAAUGAAUUUGUGAGCAAGAAUGGUUGAACCUAGACGUAGUUCGAUCGCUCAUGUAAAGAAUAGAAGUAUGUUCUAUAAGGUUCGACCUACAUCCCUAUGAUGCAGUCCUAGUGCUGAAUGGAAGUAUGUUCACGAAGGUUGGACCUACAUCCCUAUGAUGCAGUCCUAGCAAAGAUAGAAAGUAAGUUCAUGCAAUGGUUUGAAGAUGUUUGUCGUUCUAGCCGAGGUAUCGUUGGUUGGCGAAUAACGUGAUCCAACCAUUAAAAGAGACUCGAAGAUGUCUCCGGAGUUAAAUUGCUAUAUUCCAAUGACUUGACUAGAGCAUGUUUCAAAUAGACUCUAAUGAAAGUAUCAUAAGAGUAUUCGAAUAAAGAAUGACUCAGAAGUUAGCCGACUGUCAAUAUCUUUGAUAUUCAUGACGUACAGGUUCGGGAAAAUGACCUUGUAAAAAGGUCUUACAUCAUAACCAGAGAAGAUAGUUCCUGAUAGUAAAAAGACCUAACUAAAGUACUUACAGUACAAGAUAGUUUCAUAGAAAAUGCCACAUCGGGCAUAGACAAAAAGAUGAUUCCUUUCUAACAAGGAAAAAUAACGUAAAGUAUCUACUACUAGCGACGGUCAUCCCUCUGGUGAACUCUCAGUUCAGCCAGUUGGCGUUCCACGUCAAGUAGGUGUCUUUCGUAUACUCUCUGGCGUACUUGAAGUUCCAUGACUUCGGCUCAUGAUUCAUCCAGUUCUUGCAGCAGGGUUUUAUGGUCUCUUUCAGACCUCUCACGAGCAUGUUCAAGGCGACUGGUGCGAAGCAUAUGCAUUCCUCCAUUUGUAUCAACUUCUGCGAUACGUUGUAGGGCUAUCCUGCCCUGAAUUUCGUUUCGGGCAACUCUUCGGAUCAGAAUUGGCAUGAUUCUGUCUGCUGAGCCCCCAUUGCUCAGGUCAUAGAAGCUUCGGUCACCAUUAAAUGGCAUGGGCUGAUCUUGUCCUUGGCUCCAUGUUUCCAAACAUUCCACCCACUCAGGCGUCGGGCCAUGAAAAGCCGGACGAGGGUUAGGAAUUGGAAAGGGAGCUGCCUGGGGUAGGUUCUCAACCUCGGGUUCGGAGAUGGCAUCGUCUGAAAGGUCUUCANNNNNNNNNNNNNNNNNNNNNNNNNNNNNNNNNNNNNNNNNNNNNNNNNNNNNNNNNNNNNNNNNNNNNNNNNNNNNNNNNNNNNNNNNNNNNNNNNNNNNNNNNNNNNNNNNNNNNNNNNNNNNNNNNNNNNNNNNNNNNNNNNNNNNNNNNNNNNNNNNNNNNNNNNNNNNNNNNNNNNNNNNNNNNNNNNNNNNNNNNNNNNNNNNNNNNNNNNNNNNNNNNNNNNNNNNNNNNNNNNNNNNNNNNNNNNNNNNNNNNNNNNNNNNNNNNNNNNNNNNNNNNNNNNNNNNNNNNNNNNNNNNNNNNNNNNNNNNNNNNNNNNNNNNNNNNNNNNNNNNNNNNNNNNNNNNNNNNNNNNNNNNNNNNNNNNNNNNNNNNNNNNNNNNNNNNNNNNNNNNNNNNNNNNNNNNNNNNNNNNNNNNNNNNNNNNNNNNNNNNNNNNNNNNNNNNNNNNNNNNNNNNNNNNNNNNNNNNNNNNNNNNNNNNNNNNNNNNNNNNNNNNNNNNNNNNNNNNNNNNNNNNNNNNNNNNNNNNNNNNNNNNNNNNNNNNNNNNNNNNNNNNNNNNNNNNNNNNNNNNNNNNNNNNNNNNNNNNNNNNNNNNNNNNNNNNNNNNNNNNNNNNNNNNNNNNNNNNNNNNNNNNNNNNNNNNNNNNNNNNNNNNNNNNNNNNNNNNNNNNNNNNNNNNNNNNNNNNNNNNNNNNNNNNNNNNNNNNNNNNNNNNNNNNNNNNNNNNNNNNNNNNNNNNNNNNNNNNNNNNNNNNNNNNNNNNNNNNNNNNNNNNNNNNNNNNNNNNNNNNNNNNNNNNNNNNNNNNNNNNNNNNNNNNNNNNNNNNNNNNNNNNNNNNNNNNNNNNNNNNNNNNNNNNNNNNNNNNNNNNNNNNNNNNNNNNNNNNNNNNNNNNNNNNNNNNNNNNNNNNNNNNNNNNNNNNNNNNNNNNNNNNNNNNNNNNNNNNNNNNNNNNNNNNNNNNNNNNNNNNNNNNNNNNNNNNNNNNNNNNNNNNNNNNNNNNNNNNNNNNNNNNNNNNNNNNNNNNNNNNNNNNNNNNNNNNNNNNNNNNNNNNNNNNNNNNNNNNNNNNNNNNNNNNNNNNNNNNNNNNNNNNNNNNNNNNNNNNNNNNNNNNNNNNNNNNNNNNNNNNNNNNNNNNNNNNNNNNNNNNNNNNNNNNNNNNNNNNNNNNNNNNNNNNNNNNNNNNNNNNNNNNNNNNNNNNNAUGUAGUCUUCUACCAAGACCCGAAUGUUUUGUUAUGACAAUGUAGUCUUCUACCAAGACCCGAAUGUUUUGUUAUGAUAAUGUAGCCUUCUACCAAGACCCGAAUGUUUUGUAAGUAAAAUGAUAGUUUUUCCUUUCUAUUGACUAGUACUAAAAGUGCUUAGUCUAACUCAUCGUUUAUGUGAAUAUAUCACAAAAUAAAGUAAAAUAGGAAAAUGUUAUGAUAGUCUUCUACCAAGACUUAAAUGUUCUGUAAGUAAAAUGAUAGCUUUUCCUUUCUAAUGAAUAGUACUAAAGGUGCUUAGUCUAACUCAUCGUUUAUGUGAAUAUAUCACAAAAUAAAAUAAAAUAGGAAAAUGUUAUGAUAGUCUUCUACCAAGACUUAAAUGUUCUAUAAGUAAAAUGAUAGAUUUUCCAUUCUAUUGACUAGUACUAAAUGUGCUUAGUCUAACUCAUCGUUUAUGUGAAUAUAUCACAAAAUAAAGUAAGAUAGGAAAAAUAUAAUCAUGUAAGUGUUAUUAUCUUGGGUUACCAGGACAAACACGACAUCGCCGAAGCGAAAGAUAGACCCUAUGAACAUCCGAAGAGUGUUCCCUCAUCCUCUGUAGCGGCAGUAGGGUGGAGGGAGGGUUAGUCCCGAUAUCGAUCUUGUGUGAUUCUUUGUAAUAGGAAUAAAUGUGUGAUUCAUGUGUCAUGUAAGGUAUUGGUAUAGACUCAUGAAUGAACUGACUCUUGUGUGAUUCUUUGUAAUAGGAAUAAAUGUUUGUUUUUUCUUACUAUCCCUAUGAUAAUUAAUUGGAAAGUAAUUGGUUGUUUACGUAGGUUUAUGCACUCUUGCUACCCAAGAGUAUUGGAAACUAAAUGAAGGGUGAAAACUAUAAUUUCUAACAUAUAUAUGAACAUAUGCGCAUAAGUAUAGUUUGAUUCAAGAAGGUAAAAUAAUGGUUUUGCAAGAUAUCUAGGAGUUUUGAACAAUAAUUAAGAAUGACUUGAUGUCAUUUUAAUAAACAUUUCAAAACUAAUACUUUUGUUAUCAAGGUAUUUUAAGAUAGAAAACCACUUCAUGUGUCACCUUUUGAAAUAUGUGAAAUGUACUGAGUGAAAACACAGUUACAAAAUACAUAAGAUUGAUUUAAUAACAUACUGUUUUCUACUUGUAUUCCCCCCAUUAAAACGUUUAAAAUCAUUUAAAACAUUGAUUAAGGGGUAUGAACUCACCUGUUGCGGGUGAUACGGAUGAACUGAAGAGGUAGGACUGCUAGUUGUCAAGUGAAGUCUUGAACACACUUACGAUCCUAGUUAACAUAUAAUUUCACAUAUAUGUAACAAAUUAGUGUAUAAACAACUAACAAACAAGUCAAGACACCCUAGGACAUGCUAAACACCUUUAUCAAGUGUUAUUAGCCUCUAGGAUUGCAUCUAAGUGUUCGUAGGGGAAGCUAUUGUGUGUAGGGCUCACAGAAUACUCCAACAUGAGGUUCACGGCCCUAAUGACCCUACUACGUGAGUUUAUGGUCGUAAACUCAUGAUUUUACGGGCGUAAGCUCACACUUAUGUUACCAUUUGAUGUUUGAUGCUCUAUAAGGCCCUAAUAAGCAUUUCUACUUAAUGGCUUGGUCUAUGGAAGAGUUUAGGGCAUAAUAUAACUCCUUUUAGGAGUUUACGACCCUAGGACCAUAUUACCUUGGAGUUUAUGGCCGUAAACUCCCUUGGAAUGAUGUUUUUGAUGCUUUCAAGUCCCAUACUCACAUAGGAUAUGUUCUAGGCAAUUGUUCAAGGCUUUAGGAGGAAUUAUGGCACCAUUUGGCACCAUUUAUUGGAGUUCACGGCCCUAGAACCUUUUGGGCCGUGAACUCUCUUUCUCCCUUGAAUAUUAAUUGAUUUGGUGGUCUAAACAUGUAAUGUAGGCUUCUAGUUUGAGAUCCGAGGCCUUGAGGGACUUUGGGACACCUUUAGCCCUUAAAAUGGAGUUUACUCCCCAAGUGUUCUUGGGCGGUAAACUCCCGAAUCUUUGGGUUUUGUUUGUUUUCUAGUCUCAAACACACUUAUAUACAAGCCUAAGUUCGUUACCUAACAUGGGGAAAAGACUAGGUAGCAUUUAAGCCACAUAUAGGAGUUUACUCUCCAAGAACGUUCUUGGGCGGUAAACUCCUGAGUCUCACAGAUUUGAUAUGUAAUCUAAGUUAUUAGGCACAUAAUAAGCAUUAUAAGACAACUAGAGAAGUGUACUCACGAUUUGGGAUAAAAACCCGAAGAUCCGUGAGAGAGAAAAUGGCUUUUCUCUAGUUGGAAAUGCGAAUAAUUAGAUAAUUUGGUUCAGAAUUCUAUUUAUAGUCCUUAGAUAUUUUUGGUAGAAAAUAUUUUUAUUCCUGAAAUGAUUUAUAAUAUAACCGAGUGUUGGAAUAACAGUGUUGCACAAAACCCUAGUGCAACCACUCUCCUGAUAUCUCCUUAAGUGUAAACCAUGAAUUACUCAAACUUAUCCGAAAAGUCUGAAAAUUUACUGUGACUGUUAUAACUUCUAUUGAAGUGAUACUGUUUGUUAAGAAUGGAAAUUUCGGGUUGUCACAUCAUGCCCCUGUUAAAGGGAAUUUCGUCCCGAAAUUAGAAUUUAGAUAAGGAAGUAGGUAUAAAUGAUCGAGUCGUUAGGUGAAAACUUCUUAAUCGAUUUGCUCUCGCGCUUCCAAGUGAAAUCGGGUUCUCAGUUGGUAUUCCAACGAACCUUCACUAAUAGGCGACGACGUUUCUUCUUCCACUUGGCCACUCGGUCGAGGGUCACUACGGUCCUAAUACGAAGGCAAGGAUCUCGUAAAUCUCAAUCUCGUCGAGAGGGAUUACGAAAGUCCUAAUGGAAGGAUAUUGUUUCAAGUUCGAGACGCGAAGGGGAAAAUGUACGUUACUGAGUUCGCGGAGUAGGUCUAGUUUGUGAAAUGCAGGACCGAUUCUGGUAAGAAUCUCGGAGGUCCUAACUAUAUUGGAUUUUAGCUUUCCACGCUUUACGAAGCGUAUUAAGCCGUUCCCAGAGUGAGGUUUCCUAAAUAAUUUGGUCUCUCACUUGGAAUUCCAAAUGUUCUUUCUCUCGCUUACUUCCCAGUCAAGGGCCAUCCCUUGCUGGGUCAAAGUCGAAAGGGUUCCUGAAGUUUACGGGGAGUUCCGAAUGGACUAUGAUAGUAGGUCUGUAAGACCUAGAAUUUGGCGAAUUUUCCAUCGGUGACUAUGGUGCCGACAAAUUCCCAACGGUUUUGGAUAAUUUGACAGAGUACUCAAGAAUUUCCACAACACUAAAAGUGUGUCUCAGGAAAUUUGACUCUAAAUUCCAAAACUCUUGUUCAGAGAACUUUGCGGAAAGUAUCUCCGAGGGUAAUGUUUCUAUGGGUUCUUUCUUACUACGAGGGUAGAUAAGUAGUCAUUAUAUGGAGAAAUGACGAACUGAUCCCAGUAAGAAAGGCGUACUCUACUUAUUCAGCUCAUGAAUACUAUGGGCGUAUUGGUCCUAUCCGAGGGGUAUCACUACGGACUCGAAGUGUCCGCAUCGAGUUCGGAGGGUAGUCUUUAGGACAUCCUUCCCUAACACUCGAACUGGUGAUAUUCGGAUCUCAGGUNGUCCACAUCGAGUUCGGAGGGUAGUCUUUAGGACAUCCUUCCCUAACACUCGAACUGGUGAUAUUCGGAUCUCAGGUCCAUUUUUGAAGUAAUUAUUUCCCUGUGUUUGCCCUAUCAAUUCGUCGAUGUGAGGCAGAGACAACGAUUUAUAAAGGAAAUCUUAAUGAAGUCUCCGGUCGUCGAGGUACAUAAAAUGCACUCCGUCGACUUUUGGUAAGAAUAAGACCGGAGCUCUCAAGGGUGAGAAGCCUGGUCUUCUAAUUCUAUUGUUGAGUCGUUCGUUGUGUUGUCCGGGAUGUUCUUGUAUCUUCCGUAGGUGUUUAGACUGUAAGGCGAUCAGGUUAUAAGAGUCAUACUGGGUUCUAAGUUUGUUCCUAUGCAAUUGCAAUUACUCGUACUCCUGGACAGUCUCCGUCCUGAAGUUCAUAUUAGAAUUCAUACGUGAUUCAAUGAUCAUAAUUUUGUGUAUACGAGUCGUAUAUAAUUAAGACUGAAAAGGUAGUCGAAUAAUUGAUUCUUCCUUAAUCUCACAUCCCAUCGAGGGAAAAGAAGUUAAAGUGGAAUCAUCAAUUCUAAACCUGUAGAACAUUGAUUAUAUAUCACUCUCNUCUUCAGUGAUAGAUUAACCGUAUGAAUCCUGGAAUUGAACUUAACGUACUGCACGAGUAAUACUAUGGGGAUUCCUUCGGAAAGGAAAAGAACUAUAAGGUACUCCUUGUAUGACUACUUCGGUGUUCUGAUAUAACGACUUUACAGACAAAACACAACAGUGCAACCGUUAACAGAGUUACUGUUCUUAGGAUUUAGUACAAGACUAUUGCUGCGAACAAGGUAUACUACAAAAGACAAGUAUACGCAGCACGAGCAUCCCUAAACGGACGGGAUCCCGCAAAAGAUAAGACUCUGGUUGCACUAGUUUUGGGAUGGCUCAUAAUUCUGUUACAACGAAACGCCUAAAUUACAUUAACGUGGGUCCGGAGUAGACUCUCCUACGGCGGUGGUCGGUAGCAUACUGCUGUGUGUGCCAGCUUUUGCUGCCUCUGUGCAGUUCCUUUUGUAAUGACCUACUUUGACACAACCGUAGCAAACAUGGUUCCCACUGGUGUUUGGCACUUGAGCGUCCUGAGCUGUCGGCGUCCUGCAGAAACGGGCUGUAUGCCCCUUCCUAUUGCAGUGUGAGCACUGCAUCUCCUUACAAGGUCCAUGGUGGUGAAAACUGCAUUUAAUGCCUUUUGGGAGACUUCCAACAUAAAGUUUGGCUGGUUUAGGGACAAUUGGGAUGUUCGAAGGGAUGGUAGUUGGAGGUGCUGAUGUCAUGGCUGUGAAGGUUGUUAGUGGUGGUUGUUUCCUGUUCGCCCUUCGAAGCGACUUGUCCUUAGAGUUAGUCCAAGACUUUCGUUUGAUACUCUUGGUCUUAGGGCUCGGGGUAUCGUGGUAGUUUGUUGCUUGCUGGGGUACUGGAUUGUUACUUGGAUGGGAAUAGUUGUUAACAAUCCCGCUAACACUUGCGUUGUUAGCGUUCAGAUGGUUCAGAAUGGCUGACACGGCAGCUGAGACUACAGCUUGAAAGGUAGCUGCAACAAUCUGAAGAGUUGGUGUUGGGUUGAUGGGCUGAUCGUUUUUCUUGGGUGACAUGAUUCUGUUACACCGAAAGAAAAUGAAUUUGUGAGCAAGAAUGGUUGAACCUAGACGUAGUUCGAUCGCUCAUGUAAAGAAUAGAAGUAUGUUCUCUAAGGUUCGACCUACAUCCCUAUGAUGCAGUCCUAGUACGGAAUGGAAGUAUGUUCACGAAGGUUUGACCUACAUCCCUAUGAUGCAGUCCUAGCAAAGAUCGGAAGUAAGUUCAUGCAAUGGUCUCAAGAUGUUUGUCGUUCUAGCCGAGGUAUCGUUGGUUGGCGAAUAACGUGAUCCAACCAUUGAAAGAGACUUGGAGAUGUCGCCGGAGUUAAAUUGCUAUAGUCCAAUGACUUGACUAGUGCAUGUUUCAAAUAGACUCUAACAAAAGUAUGAUAAGAGUAUUCGACUAAAGAAUGACUCAGAAGUUAGUCGACUGUCAAUAUCUUUGAUAUUCAUGACGUACAGGUUCGGGAAAAUGACCUUGUAAAAAGGUCUUACAUCAUAACCAGAGAAGAUAGUUCCUGACAGUAAAAAGACCUAACCAAAGUACUUACAGUACAAGAUAGUUUCAUAGAAAAUGCCACAUCGGGCAUAGACAGAAAGACGAUUCCUUUCUAACAAGGAAUAUAAAGUAACGCAUCUACUACUGGCGACGGUCAUCCCUCUGGUGAACUCUCAGUUCAGCCAGUUGGCGUUCCACAUCAAGUAGGUGUCUUUCGUACACUCUCUGGCGUACCCGAAGUUCCAUGACUUCGGCUCGUGAUUCAGCCAGUGCUUGCAGCAGGGUUUCAUGGUCUCUCUCAGACCUCUCACGAGCAUGUUCAAGGCGACUGGUGCGAAGCAUAUGCAUUCCUCCAUUUGUAUCGACUUCUGCGAUACGUUGUAGAGCUGUCCUGCCCUGAAUUUCGUUUCGGGCAACUCUUCGGAUCAGAAUUGGCAUGAUUCUGUCUGCUGAGCCCCCAUUGCUCAGGUCAUAGAAGCUUCGGUCACCAUUAAAUGGCAUGGGCUGAUCUUGUCCUUGGCUCCAUGUUUCCAAACAUUCCACCCACUCAGGCGUCGGGCCAUGAAAAGCCGGACGAGGGUUAGGAAUUGGAAAGGGAGCUGCCUGGGGUAGGUUCUCAACCUCUGGUUCGGAGAUGGCAUCGUCUGAAAGGUCUUCAGCAUGGUGAUCAUUCAGAGGGAUUGGAUGAUCAUUAUCUGGUUCUUCUCCAAACCAUCCAGCAAUAACCGCGUUCGGAAGGAACAGGUUGUCGUGGGGAUGGAAUCCAGCCAUGUUAUCUACGCGAGAAUUUGGGGUAAGAAAAUAAUUAUUAGACGAACUAUCUAGAUAAUUAUUUAGGAAAUCUUCAUUAGUUCCAUCGCUAUUUGUAAAGUGCAUACCAGUUAUAUGUAAUCAACACAGGAUAGGCCUUCGAAUAAGUGACCUCAACUCCAAAUUCACAAGGAAUAGGGGUAAAGCAAAAAUUUCACCGAUUCUAAGUCUAUAACAUCCUAGUUACAUAUAACUUUAGCGUAUCCACUUAGCAAUUAUCAACUUAGGAAUGAAGAUUCCAUUUUAGUUCUCAAGUAUAAAGUACUUAUAGUAACACAAAACACCCCUAUGGUAUUUUAGACUUAGGUUCUGUUAUAAUGUUCUCAUUGUGGUAAUGUUGGUAAGUUUUUAGACUUGUUGCCAUAUCACAACCAUUCUUGGGCAUGUGCUAAUCACUCUUUGGAACAGCAUAGUUGAUCAGGCUAUGCCACUCCCAAGACUGACCAUACAUCCCCGAGCUUACCUGUGAUAUUCAACAAUCGUAAUACUUUUGUUCUUGUCAUUGUGACACUGAUUUUAGUAUGAAUGCAGGCACGUAUACUUUGUUAAAUAUUUUAUUAUUUAAAAGUAUAUUCUCUUAGACAGAGUGUUUUAAUCCCUAUGUAUUUAUAGUUAGUAUAUCUUUUAUGGGUUGAUAUACUUAAUUCACUAUAAACAAUGCUCUGAUACCAAUCUGUCACACCCCAAAACCACGAACGGCGGAAACGUUCAGGGGUGGAGGACAUCAUGUACAGUAUCACAACAGUGCAAUAUAAUAAACAAGCAACAACAUCAUCCAUUGCAUUAUAAGUAGAGUUUUAAUACAUGUGUGUUCUUUCAUAAUGUACAACAAUAAAAUGAAUAAUCAAAAUAAGGCGAGUCUUGUCUGUGCUCCAUCUUCUCAAAAACCUGACCAUCGCACCUGUCUAACUGAUGACCUGAGAAUACAAGUUAUUUUGAAAGAGAGUAUCAGCUUUAAAGCUGGUGAAUUCAUAAGUAAUUAAGUGUCGUUGUCUUGCUUAUGAAAAUCUAUUAUGAAGGCCGUGUAAACCUUUAAAUGAAAAUGUUGAUGUAAGUAUGAAAAACCCUAGAAAAUCCCUUAUUUUCUAUUAGUUUGAAAUGUAGUCUUCUACCAAGACCCGAAUGUUUUGUUAUGGCAAUGUAGUCUUCUACCAAGACCCGAAUGUUUUGUUAUGAUAAUGUAGUCUUCUACCAAGACCCGAAUGUUUUGUUAUGAUAAUGUAGCCUUCUACCAAGACCCGAAUGUUUUGUAAGUAAAAUGAUAGUUUUUCCUUUCUAUUGACUAGUACUAAAAGUGCUUAGUCUAACUCAUCGUUUAUGUGAAUAUAUCACAAAAUAAAGUAAAAUAGGAAAAUGUUAUGAUAGUCUUCUACCAAGACUUAAAUGUUCUGUAAGUAAAAUGAUAGCUUUUCCUUUCUAAUGAAUAGUACUAAAGGUGCUUAGUCUAACUCAUUGUUUAUGUGAAUAUAUCAUUAAAUAAAGUAAAAUAGGAAAAUGUUAUGAUAGUCUUCUACCAAGACUUAAAUGUUCUAUAAGUAAAAUGAUAGAUUUUCCAUUCUAUUGACUAGUACUAAAUGUGCUUAGUCUAACUCAUCGUUUAUGUGAAUAUAUCACAAAAUAAAGUAAGAUAGGAAAAAUACAAUCAUGUAAGUGUCAUUAUCUUGGGUUACUAGGACAAACACGACAUCGCCGAAGCGAAAGAUAGACCCUAUGAACAUCCGAAGAGUGUUCCCUCAUCCUCUGUAGCGGCAGCAGGGCGGAGGGAGGGUUAGUCCCGAUAUCGAUCUCCUAAUACCGAUCGUUAACCUAAUGAUCCUCCGAAGAUUCACAUCUCAUCCACUGUUGCAACAGUUGGACAGAGGAAUGGUUAGUUCCGUGUCCGGCUCCUAAUACAAGCGUUAACCUAAUGAUUAUCCGAAGAUUCACAUCUCAUCCACUGUUGCAACAACAGGAUGGAGGAAUGGUUAGUUCCGUGGCUGGCUCCUAAUACAAGCUUUAACCUAAUGAUCAUCCGAAGAUUCACAUCUCAUGCACUGUUGCAACAGUUGGACAGAGGAAUGGUUAGUUCCGUGGCCAGCUCCUAAUACAAGCGUUAACCUAAUGAUCAUCCGAAGAUUCACAUCUCAUCCACUGUUGCAACAGUUGGAAAGAAGGAUGGUUAGUCCCGUCACUGACUACUAAAUAAGUAACAACCUUAGACAUCCGUAGACAUUCAUCGACCACUGGUGCUAAUCAGUGGGGUUCGGAAUGGUAAGUCCCACCGAAUUAUCCCAUUGAACUGAGAUAGGAAAGAUAAUUUACACAGUAAGUACUAAUAAAUCAUCCUCGUAGUUCUAAGGACGAGUAUCCAGGUAAGUAAAUACAGGAUAAUGCACCUAAGUAACAGUGUUCCUGUAUGGUAUUCAUGUAAGUGUGUUCAUGUAACAGGUAAGUAUAUGUAAACAUAUUCAUGUAUCAUGUAAUCCUAAGUAAGUGUACUCAUGUAUCAUGUAAGGUAUUGGUAUAGACUCAUGAAUGAACUGACUCUUGUGUGAUUCCUUGUAAUAGUAAUAAUGUUUGAUAUCUUCUAACUAUCCCUAUGAUAGUUAACUGAAAGGUAAUUGGUUGUUUACGUAGGUUUAUGCACUCUUGCUACCCAAGAGUAUUGGAAACUAAAUGAAGGGUGAAAACUAUAAUCUCUAACAUAUAUAUGAACAUAUGCGCAUAAGUAUAGUUUGAUUCAAGAAGGUAAAAUAAUGGUUUUGCAAGAUAUCUAGGAGUUUUGAACAAUAAUUAAGAAUGACUUGAUGUCAUUUUAAUAAACAUUUCAAAACUAAUACUUUUGUUAUCAAGGUAUUUUAAGAUAGAAAACCACUUCAUGUGUCACCUUUUGAAAUAUGUGAAAUCUACUGAGUGAAAACACAGUUAUAAAAUACAUAAGAUUGAUUUAAUAACAUANNNNNNNNNNNNNNNNNNNNNNNNNNNNNNNNNNNNNNNNNNNNNNNNNNNNNNNNNNNNNNNNNNNNNNNNNNNNNNNNNNNNNNNNNNNNNNNNNNNNNNNNNNNNNNNNNNNNNNNNNNNNNNNNNNNNNNNNNNNUAGGUGUCAAGUGAAGUCUUGAACACACUUAUGAUCCUAGUUAACAUAUAAUUUCACAUAUAUGUAACAAAUUAGUCUAUAAACAACUAAUAAACAAGUCAAGACACCCUAGGACAUGCUAAACACCUUUAUUAAGUGUUAUUAGCCUCUAGGAUUGCAUCUAAGUGUUCGUAGGGGAAGCUAUUAUGUGUAGGGCUCACAGAAUACUCCAACAUGAGGUUCACGGCCCUAAUGACCCUACUACGUGAAUUUAUGGUCGUAAACUCAUGAUUUUACGGGCGUAAGCUCACACUUAUGUUACCAUUUGAUGUUUGAUGCUCUAUAAGGCCCUAAUAAGCAUUUCUACUUAAUGGCUUGGUCUAUGGAAGAGUUUAGGGCAUAAUAUAACUCCUUUUAGGAGUUUACGGCCCUGGGACCAUAUUCCCUUGGAGUUUAUGGCCGUAAACUCCCUUGGGAGGGUGUUUAUGGUGUUUUCNCCCUAGAACCUUUUGGGCCGUGAACUCUCUUUCUCCCUUGAAUAUUAAUUGAUUUGGUGGUCUAAACAUGUAAUGUAGGCUUCUAGUUUGAGAUCCGAGGCCUUGAGGGACUUUGGGACACCUUUAGCCCUUAAAAUGGAGUUUACUCCCCAAGUGUUCUUGGGCGGUAAACUCCCGAAUCUUUGGGUUUUGUUUGUUUUCUAGUCUCAAACACACUUAUAUACAAGCCUAAGUUCGUUACCUAACAUGGGGAAAAGACUAGGUAGCAUUUAAGCCACAUAUAGGAGUUUACUCUCCAAGAACGUUCUUGGGCGGUAAACUCCCGAGUCUCACAGAUUUGAUAUGUAAUCUAAGUUAUUAAGCACAUAAUAAGCAUUAUAAGACAACUAGAGAAGUGUACUCACGAUUUGGGAUAAAAACCCGAAGAUCCGUGAGAGAGAAAAUGGCUUUUCUCUAGUUGGAAAUGCGAAUAAUUACAUAAUUUGGUUCAGAAUUCUAUUUAUAGUCCUAAGAUAUUUUUGGCAAAAAAUACUUUUAUUCCUGAAAUGAUUUCUAAUAUAACCGAGUGUUGGAAUAAUAGUGUUGCACAAAACCCUAGUGCAACCACUCUCCUGAUAUCUCCUUAAGUGUAAACCAUGAAUUACUCAAACUUAUCCGAAAAGUCUGAAAAUUUACUGUGACUAUUAUAAAUUUUAUUGAAGUGAUAUUGUUUGUUCAGAAUGGAAAUUUCGGGUUGUCACAAUUUGGGAGUACUUACUUGAGCUCGGCUAAUUGCAUGCACCACACCCUUUUCUCUUUUUUCAAAAUUCUUUUUGUUUUUUCUAAAAUUUCUUUUCCUUUUCUCAAAGUCGUUUUUAUAAAAAGGUUUUCCUUUUGAAAAUUUAUGUACCAAUUCCUUAGUUUGAGUUCAGACACACCCGAGAGUGUGACCAAAUCCCUCAGACCAAGGCUCUGAUACCAACUUGAAACAUCCCAAAAAUACGGUCCAAAAAUUUAGUUUUAAAAUCAUUUGUAAAGGAAACAUGAAUACCAAUCAUCGUAUAAAACCAUAAAUCGUGUAACUCAAAAUAACAUAAUAUCUGUCAAUGUAUCAAAAUCAUAUCAAAUAUCAGAGUGACUCAUCCCAGGCUAAAACUGUGGUGUGUACCAUGAAGUCAUCUGGAGCUGUUCUAUUUGCUAGAUGAAGUACGCGAAACCAAAAUUGAAAACUGUAAGCACGAAGCUUAGUGAGUUUCCUCAAACUACCACAUACCAUACACAUAAUCACAUAAUAACAUACAUUGGGCCUGGCCCACUACACCAGGCCUCGCUCGGCAUUGGAUCGAAGUCCAGCAUUGGGCCCCGCCAUUGCUAACAUACGUAAACGAGCUAACCUCGACAUUGCUAACAUAUAUAAACGGGCCGACCUUGGUGCCUUAGACCUGUUCCUACUAGAAGAGGACUCACCUUGCCAAGCGGACUUUAAGCCAUGCUAUCCAAACAUAGAUCCAAGCUAUCUAGGACCUCUAGAAUCAUAAAGUCACGGACUUGGUGACUUUUCAUGUCCCUGAAAGUCCCAAUCUCAAUAAAUAGCAAUCAACUUCCAUAAAUAUGGCGAUAACACUGGCAUGAACCCAUUAAGACCUUAAAGAUGGCAACUUUUCUAUCCUAGUGACUCAAAUAGCAUCAAGGGUGGCCACCCUAAGUUUAGAAACAUAUUUGAACCAUAAAAAUCCAUUCUUGGGACCAAAAAGGUCCAAAACAUCAUUACCAUAGAUCUAAGUAUACAUGAGGCAAGUUGUGAGCUUUUUACCUCAAAAUAGUACCAAAUGAUGAUGCUAUCCUGGAUCUUUGAGCUCAAGAUACUCAAGUUCUUCUUCAAUAACUUCUUCUUUCUCCUUCUAAGCUUCAGAACACCAAAAUGAGCCUCACAAGAUCAAAAUCACCCAAGGAUGAGGAGUUUUAGGUUUUUUAGAGUUUUCUGAGGUUGAGAGGUUGGUAAGGAGGCUGAGGUAUGGGACAUAACGUUCUUUAUAUAGGUCCAAAACACUAAAAGUUAGGGUUUGCAUCCAGCACUGGAAUGCAGCGCGUUCAUUAGGGAAACACCUCACAAUUGGCCUAUGCCUCCAAAAUCCUAAAUUAGAAGAAACAGUCCCUCCUUCCUCCAAAUUUACUAAUUACAAUGUCGAAAAGCAAUAGUUCCAUAUAUAAGGGAGCACAAUGUACAUAAUACCUGGAUUUGGUGUUACAAUUCUCCGCUACUUGGAUCAGACUUCGUCCUCGAAGUCCCUCUCCUCGAACAACUCAGGGUAAUGCUCCCUCAUCUCCUUGUUUGGCUCCCAAGUCCACUCCAAGCCCUUGUGGUGCUACCACUGCACCUUCACCAACUCUACCAUCUUGUUCCUCAGCUCCUUCGUCUUCUUAUCGAGAAUAGCUACUAGUAUCUCGAUGUAGUUCAAGAUGUCGUCCACCUAAAUAUCCUCUAAAGACACAACUGUAGAGCCAUCCACUAAACACUUCUGCAACUAGGAGACCUGAAAAGUGUUAUGGAUCUGGCUGAGCUUUGCUGGAAGAUCCAAAUGAAAAGCAACCUGGCUCACCUGAGCUAAAACCCUAAACAGAUCGAUGUACCUAGGGCCCAACUUGCCUCAACUUCUUAACCGGAUGACACCUUUUCUAGGUGACACCUUCAGGAGGACCAUAUCUCCUACCUGAAACUCUAGGUCUGAACGACGCUUGUCAACAUAGCUUUUCUGCCAACUCUGAGUAGUCUGGAGCUUACUCCGGACCUGUUGGAUCUUCUCCGUGGUCUUGAGUACCACCUUAGUACUCCCCAUGACUCUCUGAACGACCUCGCCCUAGCAGAUUGGGGUCCUACAUUUCCUCCCGUAGAGCAUCUCGAAGGGAGGUCGAUCUAUGCUAGCGUGGUAACUGUUGUUAUACGAAAAUUCCGCUAACAGAAGAUACGUAUCCUAAUUUCCCCCAAAAUCUAAUACGUAUGUGCGUAUCAUAUCCUCUAGAGUCUGAAUCGUCCUCUCACUCUGUCCAUCUGUCUGAGGGUGAAAAGCAGUAUUGAAGUGAAGAGGAUUACCCAUCUCGUUAUGAAACUGCUUCCAAAAUUUGGAAGUAAAACGAACAUCACGGUCUGUCACACCCGAAACCGGCACUCCAAGACGUGCCACUACCUCGCGUAUGUAGAUCUCGGCUAGCUUCUCAUCCGAUAUACUCUCCUGGAUCAAGAUGAAAUGAGCACUCUUGGUCAACUGAUCCAUGAUGAACCAUAUGGAAUCCACUACUUGUGCGGUCCUGGGAAGCUUUGUGAUGAAAUCCAUAGUGAUGUCUUCCCAUUUCCACAUGGGAAUAUCCAAUGGCUGCAUCAUUCCGUGAGGUCGCUAGUGCUCGGCCUUGAUUUCCCUACAAGUUAAGCACCAUUCCACAUACCAAGCUAUGUCCCGCUUCAUGCAGGACCACCAAUAAUCAGGGUGAAGAUCCCGGUACAUCUUCGUCGCUUCGGGAUGGAUUGAGAAUCUCGACUUGUGAGCCUCAUCCAUCAGAACCUGGUGCACCCCGCCCCAGUAAGGAACCCAGACCCUCUGAUGCAGGGACAACAACCCGCGAUUGUCGUAAUCAAACGAGGUCACCUGGCCUACGAUUCGCUCACACUUCUGGCACUCUUCCUUCAUACCAUCGACAUGCGCCUCCCGUAUCCGUUCCAGCAACAGAGUAUCACUGUCAUCCUCAAACAUAUGUCUCGAAUCGUAGCCGCCACUGCCUUGUGGUUAAGAUUAUCGACCACCACAUUGUCCUUGCCCUGGUGAUAAAGGAUCUCACAGUCAUAAUCCUUCACCACAUCUAACCACCAACGCUACUUCAUGUUCAGAUUUGGCUGGUUCAUCAGAUACCUCGAGCUCUUGUGGUCUGUGUAAAUGGUACGACGAACCCCAUAAAGGUAGUCUCACCAAAUCUUGAGGGCGAAAACCACAACCCCCAGCUCUAAAUCGUGCUUUGGGGAAUUCACCUCAUGAGGCUUCAACUACCUUGAAGUGUACGCUAUCACGUGACCCCGAUGCAUCAGUACUGUGCCCAUACUCGUGAUCGAAGCGUUACAGGAAACCACCAAAUCAUCGAUGCCCUCCGACAAAUUCGGAAUCGGUGCCUCGCACAACCACUGUUUGAGAGUCUCGAAGGUUACCUGCUACUCAGGCCCCCAACGGAAUGUCAACGACUUCUCGGUCAGUUGGGUCAGAGGAACAACGAUCUUGGAGAAAUCCUGGAUGAAUCUCCGAUAGUAACCCUCUAGAACAAGACAACUCUGAAUCUCAGAUGGAGACCUCGGAACCUCCCACUGCAUCACGACCUCUAUCUUGGCGGGAUCGACCAGAAUACCCUUCUGGUUGACAAGGUGCCCUAGAAACUGCACCUCGCACAACCAAAACACACACUUGGAGAACUUUGCGAAAAGUCUCUCUCUCCUCAGUGUCUCCAGCACCUCCCUCAGGCGCUCCUCAUGUUGCUACUGAGUCUUGGAAUAAACCAAUAUAUCAUCGAUGAAGACUAUCAUACACCAAUCCAGCAUCGGUCUGCAUACGCGGUUCAUGAGAUCCAUGAAUGCAACAAGAGCAUUGGUGAGACGAAACGGCAUCACCAUGAACUCAUAGUGACUAUAACGAGUCUGAAGCCUUCUGCACAUCGUCGUCCCUGCUCAUCAUGGAACGAACCAUGUCCAACCAGGUCUGAUUACGCCUCUCAGAGACACCAUUAAGUUGUAGUGUUUUAGGUGAUGUCAAUUAUAAAACUAUUUCACAUUCCUUAAGGUAGUCGUGGAACUCAAUACUAAGAUACUCACCGCCUCUAUCAGAUCUAAGCAUCUUUAUCUUCCUGUCCAAUUUAUUCUCAACUUCUUGUUAAAAUUAUUUGAACAUUUCAAAGGUUUAUGACUUACGUUUGAUUAAGUAGAUAUAGCCAUAUCUGCUAUAAUCAUCAAUAGAAGUCACAUAGAAUCAAUUUGCAUCCCUUGUGGUGGAUUUGAAGGGUCCACACAUGUCUUUGUGUAUAAGAUCCAACAAUCCUUUACCUCUUUCAUAAGAACCAGUGAAAGGUGAUUUUGUCAUCUUUCCCAGCAAAUAAGACUCACAUGUAUCAUCUGACCUUAAGUCAAAUGAUUCCAACACUUCAUCCUUUUGUUGUAAGGUGAUGCGUUUCAUAUUAACAUGUCCAAGACGACAAUGCCACAAGCAUGCUUUGUCUAUACCAUUAGACGAAUCAAUUUGAAAAACAAUAUUACCUAAAUUGUCUACAAUCAUCACAGUUUCAUACACGCCAUCACAAGGUAAAGCUUCAAAAGAAAAAACAACAUUGUUAUAAGCAGAAACAAAACCAUUCUCAUCAUCAAAAGAAGCUAAAACCUUGUUUUAACAAUGCGUGAAAUGAAAUGAUGUUCUGUGUCGUCUCUAACGAGUAGCAAUAAUUUAUAAAAUCUAAUCCUAACUCACUUCCUUUUAGACCAUGCAAAUCAGAACAAAUGUGAAACCCACAUCCUGUAUCAAGGACCCAAGAAUGAGAAUAUGAUGAGUUAUUAGAUAAGAUAAUGUAAAUACCUGCCGAGGUUGGCUUCACCUUGCCAUCAUUGAUAUCCUGAAAGUAUUUCGGGUAGCUUCGUUUCUAAUUCUCCUGGUCAUUACAAUAGAAGCAAGUGUCCUCUUUGGGGUAAGAGAUAGGGGAGCAUCAGAACUGGAUUUUACUUUGGGUCCUGUGCUUGAUGACCUAGCUUGUGACUUUCCCUUCCCGGUGUGCUUGGAAGGACCUUUCCUCUUCUUCCCUUUCCCUUGACUAAUGGUCAGAACAGGAGCACCAGUAGGAGUGGAGGCAACACCUUCUCCCUUCAUUCAUGCUUCAACUAUUCGCAGGAGGUUGUGCAAUUGAGAUAAAGUAUUUUCAUUAUUGUUCAAAUGAUAGGUCAAUAUGAACUAAUCAUAACAACUUGGCAGAGAUUUCAACACUAUGUCGAUUGCCAAGUCUUCAUCAAAAUCCACGUUGAGCUUGAUUAGCCUAUCCAUGUAUCGUUGCAUUCUUUGAACAUGGCUACUAACAUACUCAACUUCCUUCAUCUUGCUAGCAAUGAGGGACUUUACCACCUCCUAUGUUUCCUGACAAACUUGCUUAUCGUUCUUCUCCAUAAAGUCUUUGUUCAUCUCAUAUAGCUUGUAAUCCUCAUAGUGUCUUUGCAAUUUUGGAGUCAUUGUGGCCACCAUGACGCACACAGUUUUUAUGGCAUCAGUAUAGUGUUUCUUGUAGGCGACCAUUUCUUCAGGAGUGGCCUUCUCUUCGUCAAUUUCAUCUAAUGGUUUCUCGACGACAUAUUCCUUUUCCUCAACAUGAAGGGUCACUUUUAUGUUGCGCAUCUAAUUGUUAUAGUAAGUGCCAUCCAAUUGCACCUUCGAGCAGAUGUUCAACAGAGAGAAGUUGUCGUUGUUGGAAGAGGAAGAGCAACCAAAAGCAUCAGUUAGAGUAGACAUCUGAAAGAGAAGAAAGAUAGUUUUAGUUAGAUAAGAAUAAUCCGAACUAUGCCGUAAUUAUAAUCAAAAUUUGAGAACACACUAUGUAUCCUUGACUAAAUUUAUUAACAUUCACAACCUAAGCCUUUAGAUUUGAAAUGAAGCAUGAUAUUCUCUCCCUUAAUUAUAGCAAAACAACUAUUCAACCCUUACGACUUUGAAAAGGAUAACUCUUGUUUUCUAUAACUAAUAUUGCUAACUUGCAAUACUUGUUUUAAUAAUCAUACAAGCACAACAUUUAUGCUCCCACUAUCAUGAUGAUUAUUAUCAAAUAAGCAUAACACUUAUGCUCUUACUAUCUUUGACAUGAUAAUCCUUUAUCUAAGCUUCUUAAACUUAUACACCUUUGCCUUAGAUAGCUCAUAUGUGUGUCUAAACAAUUCAGACUAAUUGCCAAAUCUCACAAUUCGAAUUAUGGAAAGGGAUACCGUAACCAUAAUCGAAUUCGAGAAUACAAUUUCACAAUCACUAUCUUCUUAAAAUCUCUCUUAGUGAAAGCAUUUCCUCACAGUCAUCUUCAUGAAGGAGGAAAUCUUAUGACACUUAGAUUUUAAUGGUUUAUGUGUUCCUAUCCAUGCGAAUUGUCAAAACCAAAGUUGCGACAAAUCCAAAUUCAUAUGGACCGAACCUUCUCAAUCUUGAUCUCUUGCCUUAUGGUAACACGGCUGCCCACCAUGUCUUCCAAGUAGUUAAGCAGCUCACCCUUUCUUAUCAAUGUACUUUUCAUUGCUCAAGGUCCUUGCCUUUUAUGCAUUCAAAUGAGAACUCAUAGAACUCACAUGCAUAAUUAACUCAAUUGGAAUGGCACAGAAACAAGAUAGUGUCAACACGAUAGGUUGUAAACCUCAAGUCGUGUGCUAGUGAUGAUCGAUAAGGUUUAUUCUUGAUUAGUUCUUGAAACUUUUCAAGACCAUUAAGAC